rnacentral:lncRNA from 1 species
AACUGAAUCAGGUUUCACACAAACAAUAUAAGCAUUCACCUCCAGGCAAUAUUUCUAGUACAUAUAUAAACUCAUUUCAUGGUACUUCUCAGUUCUUUCGGCAUCAACAUGUGCUACUACUGCCUUCCAUGCAACUGCUCUUAUCCUUGUCAUAACCUCGGUUAACACAGUUAGCUUUGCACGCAAUGUUGCCACUAGCUCGGUCUGGUGGCGAACAAUUGUCCACAGUUGUACACAGGUCAGUAUAUGUGCACAAAUCACAAUAGAGAUACCUCAAUCAACACAUAUAACCCAGCAGGAAAAUAUAUGUUUCUGUAUCCAAAUACGAGUGAAGAGAUUGUGAAAGAAAGAAGAAAACCAUACCUACAUAACGCCCUGCUGCAUGACAUGAGAAGACAGUGGUGGCCAUGGCUACAAGAGCUACCAAGCAUACGGCCUGUGUGUAGUUCCGCAUACCGGCCAUGGGAGAUAGUUAGCUAUUCCCUUUCUGCUAAUGUUGUUCGUUGAUUUUGCCAAAUUCAUGUUCUUUGCCUAGGUGCUUGUGUUUAUAUUGAGGGAAAGCUAGCAGUCUUGGAUCUUAAUACAAAAGAAAAACUUGGAGUAAAUUUAUUUCUUUCCUCCUAUAGUUUUGUAGUAAAUAAAUGCCUCUUUGUACAAAGGCUUGCUAUAAUCUCCACAAUAAAUUCUUGCCAUUUAAUCAUAUUAUGUAUUAAUGCAUCCUUAUCUGCAUUGUGUUAAUGCUGCCUUAUCCUCAUUAAUACAUUCUUGGUAUAUGAGCCUAUUAUACAUGUGGUUUAAUUUAUCCCAUGGUAGUUCUGAUUUACAGUGCCCUCACCCACACUCAUUGAUACAGAAAAAGUAGAGUUGUCCUCGCGAGUAGGGAUGAAAACAAAGCAAAAAUGCAUGAAACUAAGUGUUGCCACAUUCUUCUUUAUUUUUUCUGAAUGCAUAAUUGAAUAUAAAAACCAAGCAAAUGAAUAUAGAAACAUAUCGUAUUGGAAAUAGAUACAUACCAAAUAAGAUAUCUACACAAAUACAAAAGCUAUGGAUGGGUGGUUGACACAGUGCCAUCAGGACAGUAGUCUGGUGUCCCUAACACUUGGUUGCGCUAAUAGGCUACUCGAUUACUUGAUUUAGCAGUAGAACAUAUUAGGUUGAGUUUCUUUCAUAGAUAUUGACAAGGGCCUUCAUGACAAGGCCUAUUGGAGCCGUAAUGUCCACACUACGAUGGAAAGUUUUUUAUUUGGGGAAGGAUAAAUUCAAUUUCCAUAUCCAUUCCAAGAAAAAUUGAUGUUCUAUCCACUUAAAGAUUUAUGUUUUUGUUUCCUUAUUUGUGGAAAACAUAAAUAUUGAACAUUUAAGUGUCGAUUUCAUUCCUACUACUGAGAGUGCGCGUCUAUGACGGGAUAGAAAUAUUUGGUAUUUUUCCGAUCAAUAAAAAACACUUAAUGGAGUGUCACCUCAUCACAAUGAAAGGGGUAAUCGUUAUGAAAAUCUUACAUGAUUAAUAGUUAUGAAAAAUCCAGUUCGUAGGUUCGUCAUGGUCGAGUAACAUGACCUCCAGAGCAGGAUUACCGUACCACUCUGGUGUGGAUCUUACUCUGGUUGACCUACGAGGUUCGGUAGUAACUUAAUCAGAAGUUUCAUGAUCAUCAUCAUUAGCUUCCUCACUUACUGGUGUAGGAAUCAUUGGAACUGAUUUCAGUGAUGAACUAAUUUCCAAUAAAGGAGCAGGUACAAUUACCUCAUCAAGUUCUACUUUCCUCCCACUCACUUCUUUCGAGAGAAAUUGCUUCUCUAGAAAGGAUCCAUUCUUAGCAACGAAUAUCUUGCCUUCGAAUCUAUGAUAGAAGGUGUACCCAACAGUAUCCUUUGGGUUUCCUUUAAAGACACAUUUCUCCGAUUUGGGUUCGAUCUUAUCAGGUUGAAGAUUUUUUCACAUAAGCAUCGCAGCCCCAAACUUUAAGAAACGACAACUUGGGUUUCUUGCCAAACCAUGGUUCAUAAGGUGUCGUCUCAACGAAUUUAGAUAGUGCCCUAUUUAACGUGAAUGCAGUUGUCUCUAAAGCAUAACCCCAAAAUGAUAGUGGUAAAUCAGUAAGAGACAUCGUAGAUCGCGCCAUAUCUAGUAAAGUAUGAUUACAACGUUUGGAUACACCAUUACGAUGUGGUUUUCUGGGUGGCGUGAGUUGUGAAACUAUUCCGCAUUCUUUCAAAUGAAGACCAAACUCGUAACUCAAAUAUUCUCCUCCAUAAUCAGAUCGUAGAAACUUUAUUUUCUUGUUACGAUGAUUUCCACUUCACUCUGAAAUUCUUUGAACUUUUCAAAUGUUUCAGACUUAUGUUUCAUUAAGUAUGAUUUCCAAUAACUCUGUUGCUCGCUCCAUUGUUCCGGAGAACUGAGUUUUAGUCAUCUUACACAUGAGGCAUGGUUCGCAAGUACCAAGUGAUUUAUAAUCAAGUGAUUCCAUAUGUCCAUCAGAAUGGAGUUUCUUCAUGCGCUUUACACCAAUAUGACCCAAACGGCAGUGCCCCAAAUAAGUUGCACUAUCAUUAUCAACUCUGCAUCUUUUGGAUUCAAUACUAUGAUCAUGUGUAUCACUGCUAUCAAGAAUUAGUAAAAAUGGACCACUCAUAAAGGGUGCAUGACCAUAAAAGAAAUUACUCAUAUAAAUAGAACAACCAUUAUUCUUUGAUUUCAAUGAAUAACUGUCUCGCAUCAAACAAGAUCCAGAUAUAAUAUUCAUGCUCAACGCUGGCACCAAAUAACAAUUAUUUAGGUCUAAAACUAAUCCGAAAGGUAGAUGUAGAGGUAGAGUGCUGACGGCGAUCACAUCGACUUUGGAACCAUUUCCCAUGUGCAUCGUCACCUCGUCCUUAGCCAAUCUUCGCUUAAUCCGUAGCCCUUGUUUCGAGUUGCAAAUAUUAGCAACAGAACCAGUAUCAAAUACCCAGGCGCUACUGCGAGCAUUAGUAAGGUACACAUCAAUAACAUGUAUAUCAAAUAUACCUUUCGCUUUGCCAUCCUUCUUUUCUGCCAAAUACUUGGGGCAGUUCCGCUUCCAGUGACCAGUCCCUUUGCAGUAGAAGCACUUAGUUCUAGGCUUAGGUCCUGACUUGGGCUUCUUCACUUGAGUAGCAACUGGCUUGCUGUGCUUCUUGAAGUUCCCCUUCCUCCCUUUACCCUUUUUCUUGAAACUGGUGGUCUUGUUGACCAUCAAACAAUUGCUUGGCUUGUCAUCGAGGUUGUGCAUGAUUUAAAUAUUUUGUGUGAUGAAGAUAGAUCAUAGCUAGACUAUAUGAUUUUGUAGGGACGACUUUCUUUGGCCAUGUUAUUUUGAGAAGACAUGAUUGAUUUGUUUGUAUGCUUGAAGUAUUAUUAUUUUCAUGUCAAUAUUAAACUUUUGUCUUGAAUCUUAUGGAUCUGAAUAUUAAUGCCACAAUAAAGAGAAUUACUUGGAUAAAUAUGUUAGGUAGCAUUCCACAUCAAAAAUUCUGUUUUUACCAUUAACCUAUUCGAGGACGAGAAGGAAUUAAGCUUGGGGAUGCUGAUACGUCUCCAACGUAUCUAUAAUUUUUUUAUUGUUCCAUGCUAUUAUAUUAUCUGUUUUGGAUGUUUAUGUGCUUUAUUAUACACUUUAAUAUUAUUUUUGGGACUAACCUAUUAACCGGAGGCCCAGCCCAAAUUGUUGUUUUCUUGCCUAUUUCUGUGUUUCGAAGAAAAGGAAUAUCAAACAGAGUCCAAACGGAAUGAAACCUUCGGGAGAGUUAUUUUUGGAAUGGAAGCAAUCCAGGAGACUUGGAGUAUACGCCAGGGAAGUUCGAGAUGGCCAUGAGGCAGGGAGGCGCGCCUGCCCCCCUAGGCGUGCCCCCACCCUCGUAGGCCCCUCGUGGCUCCCUUGACCGACUUCUUUGGCCUAUAUAUCAGGAGUUCUGCCGCCAGAAGCCUCUGUAGCCACCGAAAACCAAUCUAGACCCGUUCCAGCACCCUGCCGGAGGGGGGAAUCCCUCUCCGGUGGCCAUCUUCAUCAUCCCGGCGCACUCCAUGACGAGGAGGGAGUAGUUCACCCUCGGGGCUGAUGGUAUGUACCAGUAGCUAUGUGUUUGAUCUCUCUCUCUCUCUCUCUCUCGUGUUCUUGAGGUGGUACAAUCUUGAUGUAUCAUGAGCUUUGCUAUUAUAGUUGGAUCUUAUGAUGUUUCUCCCCCUCUACUCUCUUGUAAUGGUUUGAGUUUUCCCUUUGAAGUUACCUUAUCAGAUUCAGUCUUUAAGGAUUUGAGAACAAUUGAUGUAUGUCUUGCAUGUGCUUAUCCGUAGUGACAAUGGGAUAUCACGUGAUCCACUUGAUGUAUGUUUUGGUGAUCAACUUGCGAGUUUCGUGACCUCGUGAACUUAUGCAUAGGGGUUGGCACACGUUUCUGUCUUGACUCUCCGGUAGAAACUUUGGGGCACUCUUUGAAGUUCUUUGUGUUGGUUGAAUAGAUGAAUCUGAGAUUGUGUGAUGCAUAUCGUAUAAUCAUACCCACGGAUACUUGAGGUCACAUUGGAGUAUCUAGGUGACAUUAGGGUUUUGGUUGAUUUGUGGCUUAAGGUGUUAUUCUAGUACGAACUCUAUGAUAGAUUGAACAGAAAGAAUAGCUUCAUGUUAUUCUACUACGGACUCUUGAAUAGAUCGAUUAGAAAGGAUAACUUUGAGGUGGUUUCGUACCCUACCAUAAUCUCUUCGUUUUUUCUCCGCUGUUAGUGACUUUGUAGUGACUCUUUGUUGCAUGUUGACGGAUAGUUAUAUGAUCCAAUUAUGUUAUUAUUGUUGAGGGAACUUGCACUAGUGAAAGUAUGAACCCUAGGCCUUGUUUCAACUCAUUGCAAUACCGUUUGUGCUAACUUUUAUCAUUAGUUGCCUUGCUGUUUUUAUAUUUUUCAGAUUACAAAAACCUAUAUCUAUCAUCCAUAUUGCACUUGUAUCACCAUAUCUUCACCAAACUAGUGCACCUAUACAAUUUACUAUUGUACUGGGUGUGUUGGGGACGCAAGAGACUCUUUGUUAUUUGGUUGCAGGGUUGUUUGAGAAAGACCAUCUUCAUCUUACGCCUCCCACAUAUUGAUAAACCUUAGGUCAUCCACUUGAGGGAAAUUUGCUACUGUCCUACAAACCUCUGCACUUGGAGGCCCAACAACGUCUACAAGAAGAAGGUUGUGUAGUGGACAUCAGGAGCCCAUAGAGUUUUCCUUUGUUGCACCAACCUGGAGUCUAGGAAAGAGCAUGGACGCUCACAUUGCCAUGGGACGCAUCGGCGAAGUUUACCACAAGGAUCUUAAGGACACCAUAUACUAGAUAUGUGGACACCGAGAUGAGCAAUGGGAGAUGAUCAGCACCAGGAGGGACAGGUCCAUUGCAGCCUACAUCCAGGAGUUAAACCAACAGAUUCGUCGUCGGGAGAACCAGAUGUGCGCCAGCAUGAUGGACCUGAAGAAGGUGAUGACUAGGAACAUGGAGCUAGAAGAGGAACUCAAGUCUACACGCGAUGGAUAUGAAUAUGAAAUUGCAGUACUACUGGAGAAGAAUGAAGAUCUGAAGAAGAGGCUAGGAGUAUUCAUGGGAGACCCUGCGCCAGCAGGUGACGGCCAUCCCGAAGACUACAUCAUCAUCGAUGACACCGACACCGACCCCGACAGUGAUGAUGACUAUGAAGACGAAGCUAGAGCAGAUAUCAUGGAGUCUUCUUACAAUCAAAAUUUUUAGUCGACCACCAUAUUAUCAGUAGUAUUCCCCCAUAGUAGUAGUCUGAGUAUUUUGUAACGGUAGCAAGAUCGACUGUAUGCCCUUGUUUGAAUUGAGUGGUGUGAUAUGAUUGUGUUUGUAUCAUGUGCAUAUGAGUAGUGAUUUUCUCCUCAGACCACACUCAAUUCUAAUCUCUCCUCUCUAAAACCUAUCAGAUGCCUCCGAGAUGUGACCCCGGAUUUGUCUUCCCAUCGGAGCUCACCCAGUUGAUCAAGCAGCAGAAUUCCUUGAUGCAGCUACUAGUCCAGAACCAAGGCAACAACGACAACAAUAACAACCCACCGCCACCACCUGCAGUAGACAACUUAGCCCGUUUUCUGAGGUUGAAUCUGCUGGUGUUUUCAGUAGCAUCGAGCUAAUAGUUGCUAAUGACUGGCUCCGCAGGAUUCGAAUGGAUCUAACCACCACAGGUUGCAUAGAUGCUAGGAAGGUGCGCUUUGCCACACAUCAAUUAGAUGGACCAGCAGCCUCAUGGUGGGAGAAUUACACAACCACUUUUCCCAUAGCCAAUGUCACGUGGGAUUAGUUUCAGCAAUCUUUCCGUACUACGGGCCCAUGUCUCAAAUGGAUCAAUGAGUAUGAAGAAGCGUGAGUUUCGCAACUUACGCCAUGGAAAUCGUACUGUGUUGUAGUACGUGGAUGAGUUUAGUAAGUUAGCUCAUUAUGCCCCGGACGAUGUGGACACAGAUGCCGUGAAGCAGAAGAAGUUUAUGGAAGGGCUGAAUGAUGAGCUGAGCAUGCAGUUGAUGGUGGCAACAUUCAAUAACUAGCAGGAUUUGGUAGAUAGGGCCCUUAUGAUUGAAGGCAAGCAGCAACAGAUAGAGAGCCGCAAAAGGAAGUAUGGACAAGGGAAGUAUAAUUCUAGAGCUCAGCAGAAACCCCGUUUUACCCCGAACUCGGGAGGACACACUCAUAACCAUUGAGGCCAUACCCAUAAUGGAGGGAGUUUGCAUAACCAUUGUGUCCCUAAGAAUGGGAAUGGGAAUGGAGGGAGCAACGGACAGAACCGUUCCAACCCAGCAACACGCACCAGGAAGGAUCUAAGUCACAUUACUUGUUUCAAGUGCGGGAAGACUGGACACUAUGCCACUGAAUGUCCUGAAGCAAAGAUUGGAAAUGGCAAUGGAAGCUCAGGGAAGAAGCCAAACCCUUUCACGAGAGGUCAAGUGAACCACAUCAAUGUGGAGGAGGUUGAAGAACGGCCUGAUGAGGUGAUCGGUAAGUUUUUGAUUAAGUCGUUUACCGGUCUUGUUCUUUUUGACACUGGUGCAUCACAUUCAUACAUAUCAAGGGUAUUUGUGGACAAGUUUAAGUUGCCAACCUUAGCCCUUAGGUCACCCAUGUUAGUAAGCUUUCCAUGAGCAGAGUAUAUGGCCAACCGAUGGUGUGAUCGGCUACCCCUAACUAUUGGUAGCCACGUUUUCCCCUCAGACCUAAUAAUUUUGGAGUCCCAAAGAUUGGAUAUAAUAUUAGGCAUGGAUUGGUUAUCGAAGUAUGGAGGAAACAUCGAUUGUGCUAGUAAGUCAAUUUUACUCACCACCCUGGAGGGAAAGAGGAUCAAGUAGGUGUCUAGGCAUGCGCCAAGGAGGACCCAAGUGAAUUCUCUCUCGGGAGUUGUUCAGGAAGAAGUGCCUAUUGUGAAGGAUUACCUGGAUGUAUUUCCAGAGGAGCUACCAGGCAUGCCGCCAGAUCGAGACAUGGAAUUUUUUGAUAGAGCUCUUGCCAGGCACCGGACCAAUAUCGAAGAGACCGUAUCGGAUGCCCGCAAAUGAUCUGGAGGAAAUUAAGAAGCAGAUUAAGGAGUUAUUGGAUACGGGUUAUAUCUGACCAAGUUCAUCACCGUGGGGAACCCCGGUGCUCUUAGUUGAGAAGAAGGAUGGAUCUUUGAGAAUGGUUGUUGAUUAUCGGGCAUUGAAUGAAGUGACGAUCAAGAACAAAUACUCACUCCCGAUGAUCAAUGAUCUAUUUGACCAGUUGCAAGGAGCUAAAGUAUUCUCCAAGAUUGACCUUCGAUCAGGAUACCACCAGCUAAAGAUCCGAGAAUAGGAUAUACCUAGGCCAACUUUUACCACAAGGUACGGGCUAUAUGAGUACACGGUCAUGUCAUUUGGAUUGACUAAUGCCCCCGCCUAUUUUAUGAGUAUGAUGAACAAUGUAUUCAUGGAGUUUUUGGAUAAGUUUGUUGUGGUGUUCAUUGAUGACAUUUUGGUGUACUCGAAUAAUGAAGAGGAACACAAGGAACACUUGCGCUUAGUUCUCGAGAAGCUCAGGGAACAUCAGCUAUAUGCCAAGUUCAGCAAGUGUGAGUUUUGGUUGAAGGAAGUUGGAUUUCUUGGACAUGUUAUAUCAGGAGAAGGUAUAGCCGUUGAUCCUACGAAGGUUCAGUCUGUCACUGAGUGGUUGGCACCCACCUUAGUUGGAGAGAUCCGCAGGUUUCUGGGACUCGCAGGAUAUUAAAGGAGGUUCAUUGAGAAUUUCUCCAAGAUUGCGAAACCUAUGACAGAGUUGUUGAAGAAGGACACCAAGUUCAAAUGGACUGCGGAUUGUGAGGCAAGUUUUCAGGAGUUAAAGAAACAUUUGGUUAUAGCCCCAGUGCUGAUUCUUCCGGAUAUACGCGAGGAUUUCCAAGUUUAUUGUGACGCUUCUCAUUUGGGACUUGGAGGUGUACUUAUGCAAGACGGAAUAGUUGUUUCAUAUGCCUCACGGCAGCUUUGACAUCACGAGUUGAAUUAUGCCACACAUUAUUUGGAGUUAGAAGCCGUAGUGCAUGCGCUCAAGACGUGGAUACAUUUUCUGAUUGGAAAUAGAUGUGAUUUGUACACGGAUCACAAUAUUUUGAAGUACAUUUUGACGCAGAAGGAGUUGAAUCUCAUGCAGAGGAGAUGGUUGGAGCUCAUAAAGGAUUACGAUAUGAAGUUGCAUUAUCAUCCAGGAAAGGCCAAUGUCUUAGCAGACGCUUUGAGCUGCAAGAGUUAUGCCAAUACGCUCGUAAGCGGAGGAUUACCGCAGGAGUUAGUAGAAGAUCUCAAGGAACUUCGUUUCGAGAUAGUUCCAAGAGGUUUUGUUGCAACAAUGGAGGUUUAGUCUACAUUAUUGGGAAAGAUUCAAGAAGCUCAGAAGGAUGAUAAGGAAAUUGCUGAGACUAAGGAGAAGAUGAGCAAAGGAAAAGCCAAAGAUUUUUGUGAGGAUGAACAUGAGGCUUUAUGGUUUGAAGAUCGUGUAUACGUGCCCAAUAAUGCGGAGAUCAGGAAGUUAAUACUUCAGGAAGCUCAUGACUCGCCAUACUCGAUUCAACCCAGAAACACCAAGAUGUAUUUGGAUUUGAAGGAGCAUUUCUGGUGGACAGGUAUGAAGAAGGAUAUUGCCAAGUAUGUAGCAGUAUGCGAUGUGUGUCAGAGAGUGAAGGCAGAUCAUCAGAAGCCAGCCGGAUUAUUACAGCCCAUGCCGAUACCCGAUUGCAAGUGGGACAAGAUUGGCAUGGAUUUCAUCACCGGAUUACCCAUGACCUGAUCAGGAUAUGAUUCCAUCUGGGUAGUAGUUGAUCGCCUGACCAAGGUAGCUCACUUUAUCCCAUUGAAAUCCACCUAUACAAGCGCGUGGUUGGCCAAGAUAUAUAUGACCAGGAUCGUAUGUCUGCAUGGAGUUCCAAGGACCAUCGUAUCAGAUAGAGGGACACAGUUUACCUCGAAGUUUUGGAAUCAAUUGCACCAGACUUUGGGUACUAGGCUGGAGUUCAGUACAGCCUUUCAUCCGCAGACAGAUGGACAGACCGAGAGAUUCAAUCAGAUUCUAGAGGACAUGUUGAGAGCUUGUGUGCUAGAUUAGAGAUCUGGUUGGGAUGAUAAUUUACCUUACGCAGAGUUCUCAUAUAACAACAGUUAUCAGGCUAAUUUGAUGAUGUCACCUUUUGAAGCCUUGUAUGGAAGGAGAUGCAGGACACCAUUAAUGUGGGAUGAAGUUGGAGACCAUUAGUUGUUUGGACGGGAUUUGAUCAAAGAGUCCGAAUAGAAGGUUAAGUUGAUUCGAGAUAGACUGAAGGUAGUUCAGUCCAGGCAGAAGAGUUAUGCCGACAAUAACACAAGGAUGUAGUCUAUGAAAUAGGAGAUAGAGCAUAUCUUUGUGUGUUGCCACUCCGAGGAGUUAAAAGGUUUGGAGUUAAGGGAAAUUUAGCCCCGAGAUUUGUAGAACCAUACCGAGUUCUGGAACGUAUGGGAGAGGUUGCCCACAAAUUGGAGUUACCCGAAGGAUUGUCAGGAGUUCAUGAUGUGUUUCACGUUUCCCAGUUGAAGAAGUGCCAUGAUGAGAUGAUCGAUAUUCCCCUAAGAGAUACAGUGCCUCUGGAAGCAAUUCUGUUGGAGAGUGAUCUAACCUACGAGGAGAAACCUGUCAAGAUUCUUGAGUUUGCCAGCCGAGUUACCCGCAACAAAGUUAUCAAGUUUUGCAAAGUUCAGUGGAGCCACCAUACCGAGGAUGAAGCCACCUGGGAGCGAGAAGAAGACCUACGGAAAGACCACCCACACCUAUUUUCUAGCCAACCCGAAUCUCGAGGGAAAGAUUCAUCUUAAGGAGGGUAGGUUUGUAACAUCCCAAUUUUCAAUUUGGAUGUUAUACAUAGGUCAUCAUAUGCAUAUCAUAUUUUAUUUGCAUAUUUGGUUGUGAUCCUAGAAAUCUUAAGCAACUCAAGGACUCAAGGAGAGAGUUGGAGAUUUCAUACAUUUUCAUAUUUGAGUUUUUCUCAAAUUUGAAAAGAGGAUCCAUUUGGUUUUAAUAUUUUUCUCUCUAAUUAUUUCCAAUAUUUAAAUUAAAAGAGAGAAGAUAAUAAGACUUCUUCAAAAAGAGAGGAAUAUUGGAGGAGAAAUUUUAAAAUCAAAUUUAUAUUUUAUUUCGUUUUUAUUUGAUAUUUUAUUUGAAUUAGAAAAGUAUGCAUUUUGGGAAAUAGCAUUUUUAGCACAGAAAAAUGUUGACUUCGUUCUAAAUAAUAGGUUUAGACGGAGAAAAUUGUUUUUGGCAUUUUUUAGAAUUUUUUUAUAUUUUUUAGGAUUUUAUUCAGGCGGAAUUUUAUUUAAUAAAAAAUCCUUCCCUCGCCCAACUGGGCCGAAGGCCUAGCCGAGCGACCCAGCAGCCCACCUCGCGGCCGGCUUCCUCUUGCGCGGGGAGGAGACCCGCCGCCGCAUGCCGCCGAGGGGAGUCCGAGCCGGACUCCACCCCGCGCCGCCCCCUCGCCCAAGGCUGACCCCCUGGCCUUUAUAACCACCGCCACCGCCUCCUCCCUCACCCCGAGCCGACGCACGGCCACCGCCGAGCCGCGCCGUUGCCUCUUUUGCGCCUUCGAGCCGUGGCGCUGCCGGCAGCUGCCGCCGCGCCGCCUCACCUGCGCCGCCGCCUUUCCUCGUCUUUGAUGGAGCUCUUGUAUUCAAGCCCUCGAGGCCCCUGGCUUAUAAUAUGAUGCUUGUAUGACUUAUUUUAUUUGUAGAGUUGUGUUGUGAUAUCUUCCCGUGAGUCCCUGAUCUUGAUCAUACACAUUUGCGUGUAUGAUUAGUGUACGGUCAAAUCGGGGGCGUCACAAUAUGCCUCCAAGACGUGACCCCGGAUUUUUCUUCCCACCAGAGCUCACCCAGUUGAUCCAGCAGCAGAAUGCCUCGAUGCAGCUACUAGUCCAGUACCAAAGCGACACCAACAACAACAGUAACAACCCACCGCCACCACCUCCAGUAGACAAAUUAGCCUGCUUUCUGAGGUUGAAUCCGCCGGUGUUUUCCAGUUGCACCAAGCCAAUAGUUGCUGCUGACUGGCUCCGCAGGAUUCGAAGGGAUCUGACCACCGCAGGUUGCACAUAUGCUAAGAAGGUGCGCUUUGCCACACACCAAUUGGAUGGACCAGCAGCCUCAUGGUGGGAUAAUUACACAACCACUUUUCCCAUAGCCAAUGUCACAUGGGAUCAGUUUCAGCAAGCUUUCCGUACCGCCCAUGUCUCAACUGGAGCAAUGAGUAUGAAGAAGCGUGAGUUUCGCAACUUACACCGGGGAAAUCAUACUAUGGGGCAGUACGUGGAUGAGUUUAGUAAGUUAGCUCGUUAUGCCCCGGACGAUGUGGCCACAGAUGCCGCGAAGCAGGAGAAGUUUAUGGAAGGGCUGAUUGAUGAGCUGAGCAUGCAGUUGAUGGUGGCAACAUUCAAUAACUACCAAGAUUUGGUAGAUAGGGCCCUUAUGAUUGAAGGUAAGCAACAACAGAUAGAGAGUCACAAAAGGAAGCAUGGGCAAGGGAAGUAUAAUUCUAGAGCUCACCAGAAGCCCCGUUUUACCCCGAACUUGGGAGGACACACUCAUAACCAUGGAGGCCAUACCCAUAAUGGAGGUAGUUCGCAUAACCACAGUUGCCCUAAGAAUGGGAAUGGGAAUGGAGGAAGCAACGGACAUAACCGUUCCAACCCAGCAACUCCCGCCAGGAAGGAUCUAAGUCACAUUACUUGUUUCAAGUACGGGAAGACUGGACACUACGCCCUGAAGCAAAGAAUGGAAAUGGCAAUGGAAGCUCAGGGAAGAAGCCAAACCCUUUCACCAGAGGUCAAGUGAACCACAUCAACGUGGAGGAGGUUUAAGAACAGCCUGAUGAAGUGACCGGUAAGUUUUUGAUUAAGUCAUUUAUCGCUCUCGUUCUUUUUGAUACUGGUGCAUCGCAUUCAUACAUAUCAAGGGGAUUUGUGGACAAGUUUAAGUUGCCAACCUUAGCCCUUACGUCACCCAUGUUAGUAAUCUCGCCAUGAGCAGAGUAUAUGGCCAGCCGAUGGUGAGAUCGGUUACCCCUAACCAUUGGUAGCCACAUUUUCCCCUUAGACCUAAUAAUAUUUGAGUCCCAAGGACUGGAUAUAAUAUUAGGCAUGGAUUGGUUAUCGAAGUAUGGAGGAAACAUCGAUUGUGCUAGUAAGUCAAUUUUAUUCACCACCCCGGAGGGAAAGAGGAUCAAGUAUAUGUCUAGGCAUGCGCCAAGGAGGACCCAAGUGAAUUCUCUCUCGGGAGUUGUUCAGGAAAAAGUGCCUAUUGUUAAUGAUUACCCGGAUGUAUUUCCAAAGGAGCUACAAGGCAUCUCGCCAGAUCGAGACAUGGAAUUUUUGAUAGAGUUGUUGCCAGGCACCGGACCAAUAUUUCCAAGGACUGGAUAGAGUUGUUGCCCGCAAAUGAUCUAGAGGAAAUUAGGAAGAAUAUUAAGGAGUUAUUGGAGAAGGGUUAUAUCCGCCCAAGUUCAUCACCGUGGGGAGCCCCGGUGAUCUUAGUUAAGAAGAAGGGUGGAUCUUUGAGAAUGGUUGUUGAUUAUCGGGCAUUGAAUGAAGUGACGAUCAAGAAGAAAUACCCACUUCCGAUGAUCAAUGAUCUAUUUGACCAGUUCCAAGGAGCUAAAGUAUUCUCCAAGAUCGAUCUUCGAUCAGGAUACCAUCAGCUGAAGAUCCGAGAACAUGAUAUACCUAAGACAGCUUUUACCACAAGGUACGGGCUAUAUGAGUACACAGUCAUCUCAUUUGGACUGACUAAUGCCCCUCCCUAUUUUAUGAGUAUGAUGAACAAGGUGUUCAUGGAGUUUUUGGAUAAGUUUGUUGUGGUGUUCAUUGAUGAUAUUUUGGUGUACUCGAAUAAUGAAGAGGAACAGAAGGAACACUUGCGCUUAGUUCUCGAGAAGCUUAGAGAACAUCAGCUAUAUGCCAAGUUCAACAAGUGUGAGUUUUGGUUGAAGGAAGUUGGAUUUCUUGGACAUGUUAUAUCAGGAGAAGGUAUAGCCAUUGAUCCUACAAAGGUUCAGUCUGUCACUGAGUGGUUGGCACCCACCUCAGUUGGAGAGAUCCAUAGUUUUCUGGGACUUGCAGGAUAUUACAGGAGGUUCAUUGAGAAACCUAUGACAGAGUUGUCGAAGAAGGACACCAAGUUUAAAUGGACCGAAGAUUGUGAGGCCAGUUUUCAGGAGUUGAAUAAACGUUAGGUUACAGCCCUAGUGCUGAUUCUUCCGGAUAUAUGCAAGAAUUUCCAAGUUUAUUGCAACACUUCUCGUUUGGGACUUGGAGGUGUACUUAUGCAAGACGGAAGAGUUGUUUCAUAUGCCUCAUGGCAGCUUCGACCUCACGAGUUGAAUUAUGCCACACAUGAUUUGGAGUUAGCAGCCGUAGUGCAUGCGCUCAAGACCUGGAGACAUUUUCUGAUUGGAAAUAUAUGUGAUGUGUACACGGAUCACAAGAUUUUGAAGUACAUUUUCAUGCAGAAGGAGUUGAAUCUCAAGCAGAGGAGAUGGUUGGAGCUCAUAAAGGAUUAUGAUAUGAAGUUGCAUUAUCAUCCAGGAAAGGCCAAUGUCGCUGCCGACGCUUUGAGCCGCAAUUUUAAGCGCAGGAUUACCGCAGGAGUUAGUAGAUGAUCUGAAGGAACUUCGUUUGAAGAUAGUUCCAUGUAACAUCCCAAAUUUUCAAUUUGGAAUGUUAUACAUUAGAUCAUCAUGCAUAUCAUAUUUUCAUGCAUUUUGGUUGAUCCUAGAAAUUUCACGCAACUCAAGGACCUUCGGAGAGAGUUGGAGAUUUCGUUAUUUUCAUAUUUGAGAGUUUUCUCAAAUUUGAAAAGAAGAUCAUUUGAUUUAUUUAUUUCAUCUUCAAUUAUUUUUCCAAUAUCAAAAAAAUGAGAGAGGGAAUAAUAUGACUUUCCCAAAGUUAGGAGAAAUGAAGAUUUAAUGAAUAAGUCAAAUUUUGGAUUUUCCGGUGUUUAUUCGCAUUUUAUUUGGAUAGGGAAAAAUGUGUGUUUUCAAAAAUUGCAUUCUAGGUCCGGAGUAAAGUUCUUUUUGUUCGACUCAUUUUUAGGAGUCGGGGAAAAUUUACUUUAGAGAUUUUGGAGUUCGUUUAGAUUUUCUUUCUUUUGUUUUUCUGCACGCGAAUCCAGUUAAAAAAAGAAAGGACCAAGGCCAGCCGGGCCAAAGGCCCAGCCAGCCGGCCGCCUCCCCAGCCAGCGCGCGCGCCAGGCGCAGCGCCAAGCCGCCGCCUCCCUCGCUCUAGGCCGAGUCCCAGAGGGACUCUAGGCCGGUUAGCCCCCCCUUUCCUUGUUUUGUUUUCCCUCUUUUGCUUGCCCCCUACCCCAAGUAAUCCCCUCCCCACCUAUAUAAAUACACCCCAAACCCCCCCUCUCCUCACAUCAAUCCCAAGCCCCUCUCCUCCUUAGCCGCGCCCCACCCCACGCCCCUCACCCGCCGCCGCCGCCCUAUAGCCGCCGCCGCCGCCCUAUAGCCGCCGCCGCCGCCCUAUAGCCGCCGUCGCCGCCGUUCGCCGGAGCCUCGCCGAGGUUGUCCCGCGCCGCGUCUCUUUUUCUCCCCUCGGUUCAGUUCUUCUUCUAAACCGUUCCGGUUCUUUCUUAACCAUUCCGGUUUUCUUUCGUUCUUUGUUUCGGUUUUCUUUUCCGAAAACCCUAGAUCGGUUUUCGUUCUUCUUUCAGACCGUUCGUCUCAACGAACGUGAUCACUGAUUAUUCCCCGGUUAACGACGCCCGUUCGUUUAAUCGUUCUUCUUUUUCUUUUCGUCGGAUUUAUUCCGCGAUCGCGAUCUCAGAUCCGAUCUUCGUUCUAGUCUUUCUUCUCGCUCAUUUAUCGGAAUCAGGUGAUUCAAGCGCCUGGAGUUUCAUUUCGAAACCGCCGUUCCGUCUAAUCAACUUAAACAAGUUUUUGCCCCGGUAAAAUUUGACCUAGUUUCAACUUGCUAGAACCGAGUUGUUUUCUUCCGCCGCUUGUUUUCCAUUUCUUUGUUCGGUUCGUUCUUUCUUUGCAACCGGAGUUCUUAAGUUGAACCUUCUGGUUCGUUCUCUUGUUCGAGUUUUACCUGUGCAUUAGAUGAGUACUUAUUGUGCGCUUGUUAUUUGUCUGCGAUAGAUCACCCAGAUUGCGCCGCCUGGUACUUCGAUUCCCUAAGUCUCGCGGAUCAUCAGCAAGGCAAGUAACACUUUGAUCAUACCUUUUCUACAACCCAGUUUUAUUGCAUUAGAUCAAUCCUCUCACAUUGCAUGAUUAGGAUCUAAUUAAACUGUGGGAUGGGAAGUAGAUGAGGUAGUACCUAUCACCUGUAUUAUUAUGAAACCUUUGGGAGUUACUUCUACGUUGCUUAUUAUGCCAUGCUAUGCUAGUAGACGUGGAUUGGGUGAGUGAUAUCCAUGACAGAUGUGAGUUGAUAAUUUUAAUGGUUUAUCUAAGGUGGCAACUUAAACACACAUCUAGGUGGAUUGAGGCACCUGAUGUCUAUCAGGACUUGCCUGUAUUUUUUGGACCGCCACCCAGGCUCAAAUGGAUCAUAAGAUAAUUCAUGCUAGAAACUUCCGUGUGCAGCCACAUGCUACUAUGGGCUCUGGCAUAGUUGACUAAGUUGUGCGAACUCUUACGGGGUGGACUAGCAGAUGUAGGGGUUGUAGGUGGUACGGUCUACCCCACAUGUAAGGUGCUAGCGCUUCUGAAAGACUAUGUCUCGGUCAUCCGUUUCUCAAACACCAUGUAGUGCAUGAAAACAAACGGAGGCGAUCGAGUCAUGUGGGGAAAAGUGCGCAAACCUCUGCAGAGUGUACAAACAAAUCAUGAUUAGCCGUGUCCCCGGUUAUGGACAACUUGAGUAUCUAGUACUUGAAUAUCAUGUGAAUCUCAUCAUGUUACUUAUAAUUAAUGUUGUUGGGUUUUAAUUGUUCACUUAAUUGGGAUCGGAAUGCUGUCAGCCAUUCUCGAUGUUUAACAACUACCAUGAUAGUUAAAUAAAUUUAUUCCUUUGCAGUAGGGAAAAACUGGCUUUACGCAAAACUGUAACCAUAGAGCUUUCCACCAACCAUAUAUGCAUGUAGUAUAGCUGUUUCUUUCCAUUACUCUCUAUGUGUUACAUUGCCAGCAUAUUCCAUGUGCUAACCCGUUUUCGGGCUACAACUUUCAUGUUGCAGACUUUUCAGACGACGAGUAAGGUGCUUUUAGGUCAUGGUUCUAUACUCAGUGAUGUCGUUGGAGUUGAUGGACCCAUUUAUCUUCCGAGUCUUCCGCUGUUAUCGACAUUAGAUGGCCUUAAGCCAUACUUAUUGUAAUAAGUUCUCUUUGAGACAACAAUGUAAUAAGUGUGUGAUUGCCACUCUGCUAUAAAUCCUUCGAUGUACUGUGUGGUGUCAGCAUUACUGAUCCAGGGAUGACACCUGAGCACAGAGCACUUGAUCCAUUCGGGUCGGGUCGCUACAGAGAUGGUAUCAAAGCACACGCUGACUGUAGGACACGACCACUAAGUUAAAGCCAUAGAUCACCAUUCUCUUCUCAUUUUCUAACUCGUCAUCUUUUCUACUCUUUUAGGAUGACGAACGCGAAGAUUAAGUACGCUCAACCGGAUGAAGGCACACCUUUUGGAUUUCACCUCAAGGAAGUCACCAAGUACCUGAAUAUCGGAUUACCAAGCUUCACGGGAACCUUCAAUGCCACUCUGCCUGAAGAGGAGCGCUGGAAGAUUCAAGCUCACAUUCCGGGAAGAACAUUCGCGCCAAUCACGAAGCCUAUAGAUAGUGUUUUCAAUGCACCAACCUGGAGUCUGGGAAAGAGCAUGGCAGCUCAUAGCACCAUAGGACGCAUUGGAGAAGUUUAUCAAGAAGACCUCAAGGACACUAUCUACCAGAUUUGCGGACGCCGAGAUGAACAAUGGGAGUUAGUCAGCACCAAGAAGGAUAGAUCCAUUGCAUCUUUCAUCCAGGAGUUAAACCAGCACAUUCGACGCCACGAGAAUCAGAUGUGCAAUGAUAUGAUAGAGUUGAAGAAUGCAAAGGCAAGGAUCAUCGAGCUAGAAGGAGAACUUAAGUCUACACGCAAGGACUACAUGGACGAGAUCGUAGCUCUAGCAAGACACAGUGGCGAUCUUAAGCAGGAGAUUGAAGAACUCAAGAGGAAGUUAGCAUCAAAGGAGGUGGACGAGUACGUCGCAUGUCCGGACAACUACAUCAUCAUCGACGACACCGAUUCGGAUCCAAGUGAACCCGACUUUGAAGACGAAGCUGGAGCAGAUAUCAUGGAGUCUUCCACCGGUUCAAAUUUCUAGAUGACCACCAAAUAGUAGUAGUAUUCCCCCAUGUAAACAUUAUAGUUCGAGCACUUUUGCGAUAGUUUUAGACCGACUAUAAGCCCUUGUUUGAUUGAAUGAAGUGAUUUUGUGUGCAUUUGCUCAUGUGCAUUGGGGUAGUGUUUUCCCUUUAGACCCCACUCUAUUCUUAAUUCUCGUCUUUUCUAAACCCUCAGAUGCCUCCGAGAUGUGACAAUGGAUUCCCACCGGAGCUCACUCAGUUGAUCCAGCAGCAGAAUCAAUUGAUGCAGAUGUUAGUCCAGAACCAGCCGAACAACAACGACAACCCACCACCACCACCACCACUUGUAGACCACUUAGCCCGUUUCCUUAGGCUGAAUCCGCCGGUGUUUUCCAGUAGCACCGAGCCAAUAGUAGCAGACGAUUGGCUCCGCAAGAUAGGAAGGGAGUUGACCACUUCAGGAUGCACGGAUGGUGAGAAAGUGAAGUUUGCCGCUCACCAGCUUGACGGACCCGCGGCAGCAUGGUGGGAGAAUUUCACAGCCACUUACCCAGUUGACACUGUCACAUGGGAUCAGUUUCAGCAAGCUUUCCGCACUGCCCAUGUUUCAGCAGGAGCUAUGGCCCUGAAGAAGCGUGAGUUUCGCAACUUACGCCAAGGAGGAAGGACAGUUGGCCAGUACAUUGACGAUUUCAGCAAGUUAGCACGUUACGCCCCAGAUGACGUUGCUAUGGAUGCAGCUAAGAAGGAGAAGUUUCUGGAAGGACUGAAUGAUGAACUAAGCAUGAAGUUGAUGGUAGCGAGUUUCAACAAGUACCAGGAGUUGGUAGAUCGUGCCAUCAUGAUUGAAGGGAAGCAACAGCAUAUUGAGAACCGUAAGAGGAAGUAUGGACAGGGGAAGUAUAACCCUGGAGCCCAGCAGAAGCCCCGUUUUACCCCUAAACCGGGAUUUCAGUUUCAGCAUACCCAUGGAGGAGGUAGCUCACACAACCAUAAUGGCCACAAGAAUGGUAAUGGGAAUGGAGGAAGCAACGGCCAGAACCGGACCACCCCAUUGACCCCAACCAAGAGAGACCUGAGUCAAGUCACCUGUUUCAAGUGUUCCAAGACCGGACAUUAUGCCAAUGAAUGUCCCGAAGGCCAGAAUGGAAAUGGCAAUGGAAGCUCUGGGAAGAAGCCGAACCCUUUCAAUAGGGGACAGGUGAACCACAUUAGUGUGGAGGAGGUUGAAGAUCAGCCUGAUGCAGUAAUCGGUAAGUUUCUGGUUAAGUCAUUUACCGCACUCGUACUAUUUGACACUGGUGCAUCGCAUUCAUACAUAUCAAGGGGAUUUGUGGAUAAAUAUAACCUGCCAACCCAAGCCCUUAGGUCACCCAUGUUAGUAAGCUCACCAGGAGCGGAGUUUAUGGCUAGACUAUGGUGUGAUCGGUUACCAUUAAGGAUUGGUAACUAUGUGUUUCCCUCAGACCUAAUAGUAUUGGAAUCUCAAGGAUUGGAUGUGAUAUUAGGCAUGGAUUGGUUAUCAAAGUAUGAAGGGAAUAUUGAGUGUGCUAAUAAGUCAAUUUUGCUUACCACACCAGAAGGAAGAAGGAUCAAGUAUGUAUCCCGGUAUGUGCCAAAUAGGACACAAGUAAACUGCCUAACAGGAGUUGUGCAACAGGAAGUACCAGUGGUAAAGGAUUUUCCUGAUGUAUUUCCUGAGGAAUUACCAGGCAUGCCACCGAAUAGAGACAUUGAGUUUUUGAUUGAGUUAUUGCCAGGUACAGGCCCAAUAUCGAAGCGACCGUACCGGAUGCCAGCAAAGGAUUUGGUGGAAAUUAAGAAUUAGAUUAAGGAGUUAUUGGAUAAAGGUUACAUUCGCCCAAGUUCUUCGCCUUGGGGAUCACCCGUACUACUAGUGGAAAAGAAGGAUGGAUCAUUAAGGAUGGUUGUAGAUUAUCGGGGAUUGAAUGAAGUAACCAUCAAGAAUAAGUACCCACUACCAAUGAUCAAUGAUCUGUUUGAUCGAUUGCAAGGAGCUAAAGUGUUUUCCAAGAUCGAUUUGCGAUCAGGGUACCAUCAGUUGAAGAUUCGAGAGCAGGACAUACCUAAGACAACAUUCACCACAAGAUAUGGACUGUAUGAGUAUACCGUUAUGUCAUUUGGAUUGACUAACGCACCUGCCUAUUUUAUAAACCUGAUGAACAAAGUGUUUAUGGAGUUUUUGGAUAAGUUUGUCGUAGUGUUCAUUGAUGACAUCCUGGUUUAUUCAAAGAAUGAAGAGGAGCAUAAGGAACAUUUGCAUUUGGUUUUGGAGAAACUAAGGGAACAUCAGUUAUACGCCAAAUUCAGCAAAUGUGAGUUUUGGUUGAAGGAAGUUGGAUUCCUCGGACACGUUAUAUCCGGAGAAGGUAUAGCAGUUGACCCCACUAAGGUUGAGACCGUAACCGAAUGGGAAUCACCAACGACAGUUGGAGAGAUCCGGAGUUUUCUUGGACUCGCAGGAUACUACCGGAGAUUCAUUGAGAAUUUCUCAAAGAUUGCGAAGCCUAUGACGGAGUUGUUGAAGAAGGAUACUAAGUUCAAAUGGACUGAGGAGUGUGAGGCUAGUUUCCAGGAAUUGAAGAAACGCUUGGUUACCUCACCAGUAUUGAUUCUGCCAGAUCAGACCAAGGAUUAUGAGGUGUAUUGCGACGCUUCACGUCGAGGACUUGGAGCAGUGCUUAUGCAGGAAGUGAUUGUUGUUUCGUAUGCUUCACGGCAACUGAAGCCUCAUGAGUUGAAUUAUGCCACGCAUGAUUUGGAGUUAGCAGCCGUAGUGCAUGCAUUGAAGACGUGGAGACAUUUCCUCAUUGGAAAUCAUUGUGAGGUGUACACGGAUCACAAGAGUUUGAAGUACAUUUUCACGCAGAAGGAGUUGAACCUCUGACAAAGGAGAUGGAUGGAGCUCAUCAAGGAUUAUGACAUGAGAUUGCAUUACCAUCCCGGAAAAGCUAAUGUAGUAGCUGACGCAUUGAGCCGUAAGAGCCAUGUCAAUACUCUAAUGACGGGGAAAAUACCCAAGGAGUUAGCAGAAAACCUUCGUGAGCUAUGUUUGGAAAUAGUUCCGAGAGGCUAUGUAGCAACAUUGGAGAUUCAGUCAACAUUGAUGGAUAAGAUCAGAGAAGCUCAGAAAUCUGACAAGGAGAUUGCUGCUAUAAAAGAGAAAUUGAGCGAAGGAAAAGCAAAGGGAUUUCGUGAGGAUGAGCACGAUACCCUAUGGUUUGCGGACCGUGUUUAUGUGCCAAAUGACCCGGAGAUCAGGAAGUUGAUUUUGCAAGAGGCACAUGAUUCACCGUAUUCGAUUCACCUAGGGAAUACCAAGAUGUAUUUGGAUUUGAAGGAAAUAUUCUGGUGGACCGGAAUGAAGAAGGAUAUUGCAGCAUAUGUAGCAGUUUGUGACAUAUGUCAUAGAGUAAAGGCAGAGCAUCAGAAGCCAGCAGGAUUGUUACAACCAUUGCCGAUACCCGAAUGGAAGUGGGAUAAGAUAGGCAUGGAUUUUAUCACAGGACUACCCAGGACAAAAUCAGGCUAUGAUUCGAUAUGGGUAGUAGUUGAUCAUUUGACAAAGGUAGCACAUUUCAUUCCAGUUAAGACCACUUACACCAGUGCUAAGUUGGCAAAGAUAUACAUGACUAGGAUCAUUUGUUUGCAUGGAGUUCCGAGGAGUAUGGUAUCAGAUAGAGGAACCCAAUUUACCUCAAAAUUUUGGAAUCAGUUGCAUGAAACUUUAGGAACCAGACUAGAGUUUAGCACAGCUUUUCAUCCACAGAUGGAUGGACAGACCGAGAGAGUCAAUCAGAUUUUGGAAGAUAUGCUGAGAGCUUGUGCACUAGAUUAUGGAUCUAGUUGGGACGAUAACUUGCCAUAUGCGAAGUUUUCUUAUAACAACAGUUAUCAAACCAGUUUGAAGAUGGCACCUUUCGAAGCUUUAUACGGAAGGAGGUGCAGGACACCAUUGUCACGGGACGAAGUUGGAGACCGUCAAUUCUUUGGACCAGAUUUGAUUAAGGAGUCUGAACGGAAAGUUAAGUUGAUUCGCGAUAGGCUCAAGGUAGCCCAGUCUAGGCAGAAGAGCUACGCAGAUUCUAAACGCAAGGAGAUAGUUUACGAAGCCGGAGACAGAGUUUAUCUUCGAGUAUCCCCACUUCGAGGAGUUAAGCGCUUUGGAGUUAAGGGAAAAUUAGCACCGCGUUUCGUUGGACCGUAUGAGAUCUUGCAACGUAUGGGAGAAGUCGCUUAUAAGUUGGAAUUACCAGAGGGAUUGUCAGGAGUUCAUGAUGUAUUCCAUGUUUCUCAGCUGAAGAAAUGUCAUGCCGAGAUGGUGGAGGUACCGCUAAGAGAUACCGUGCCACUCGAAGCGAUUCAGUUGAAGGAUGACUUAACAUAUGAGGAGAAGCCAGUCAAGAUUCUCGAUUAUGCCAGCAGAGUUACCCGCAGCAAGGUUAUCAAGUUUUGCAAAGUUCAGUGGAACCACCACUCAGAGGAUGAAGCCACCUGGAAAGAGAAGAAGAUUUGCUCAAGGACCACCCUCACCUAUUUUCUAGCCAACCCGAAUCUCGAGGGCGAGAUUCAUCUUAAGGGGGGUAGGUUUGUAACAUCCCAAAUUUUCAAUUUGGAAUGUUAUACAUUAGAUCAUCAUGCAUAUCAUAUUUUCAUGCAUUUUGGUUGCUCCUAGAAAUUUCACGCAACUCAAGGACCUUCGGAGAGAGUUGGAGAUUUCGUUAUUUUCAUAUUUGAGAGUUUUCUCAAAUUUGAAAAGAGGAUCAUUUGAUUUAUUUAUUUCAUCUUCAAUUAUUUUUCCAAUAUCAAAAAAAUGAGACAGGGAAUAAUAUGACUUUCCCAAAGUUAGGAAAAAUGAAGAUUUAAUGAAUAAGUCAAAUUUUGGAUUUUCCGGUGUUUAUUCGCAUUUUAUUUGGGUAGGGAAAAAUGCGUGUUUUCAAAAAUUGCAUUCUAGGUCCGGAGUAAAGUUCUUUUUGUUCGACUCAUUUUCAGGAGUCGGGGAAAAUUUACUUUAGAGAUUUUGGAGUUCGUUUAGAUUUUCUUUCUUUUGUUUUUCUGUGCGUGAAUCCAGUUAAAAAAAAGAAAGGACCAAGGCCAGCCGGGCCAAAGGCCCAGCCAGCCGGCCACCUCCCCAGCCAGCGCGCGCACCAGGCGCAGCGCCAGGCCGCCGCCUCCAUCGCUCUAGGCCGAGUCCUAGAGGGACUCUAGGCCGGUUAGCCCCCCCUUUCCUUGUUUUGUUUUCCCUCUUUUGCUUGCCCCCUACCCCAAGUAAUCGCCUCCCCACCUAUAUAAAUACACCCCAAACCCCCCCCCCUCUCCUCACAUCAAUCCCAAGCCCCUCUCCUCCUUAGCCGCGCCCCACCCCGCACCCCUCACCCGCCGCCGCCGCCCUAUAGCCGCCGCCGCCGCCCUAUAGCCGCCGUCGCCGCCGUUCGCCGGAGCCUCGCCGAGGUUGUCCCGCGCGGCGUCUCUUUUUCUCCCUUCGGUUCAGUUUUUCUUCUAAACCGUUUCGGUUCUUUCUUAACCGUUCCGGUUUUCUUUCGUUCUUUGUUUCAGUUUUCUUUUCCGAAAACCCUAGAUCGGUUUUCGUUCUUCUUUCGGACCGUUCGUAUCAACGAACGUGAUCACCGAUUAUUCCCCGGUUAACGACGCCCGUUCGUUUAAUCGUUCUUCCUUUUCUUUUCGUCGGAUUUAUUCCGCGAUCGCGAUCUCAGAUCCGAUCUUCAUUCUAGUCUUUCUUCUCGCUCGUUUAUCGGAAUCAGGUGAUUCAAGCACCUGGAGUUUCGUUUCGAAACCGCCGUUCCGUCUAAUCAACUUAAACAAGUUUUUGCCCCGGUAAAAUUUGACCUAGUUUCAACUUGCUAGAACCGAGUUGUUUUCUUCCGCCGCUUGUUUUCCGUUUCUUUGUUCGGUUCGUUCUUUCUUUGCAACCGGAGUUCUUAAGUUGAACCUUCUGGUUCGUUCUCUUGUUUGAGUUUUACCUGUGCAUUAGAUGAGUACUUAUUGUGCACUUGUUGUUUGUCUGCGAUAGAUCACCCGGAUUGCGCCGCCUAUUACUUCGAUUCCCUAGGUCUCGCGGAUCAUCAGCAAGGCAAGUAACACUUUGAUCAUACCUUUUCUAGAACCCAGUUUUAUUGCAUUAGAUCAAUCCUCUCACAUUGCAUGAUUAGGAUCUAAUUAAACUGUGGGAUGGGAAGUAGAUGAGGUAGUACCUAUCACCUGUAUUAUUAUGAAACCUUUGGGAGUUACUUCUACGUUGCUUAUUAUGCCAUGCUAUGCUAGUAGACGUGGAUUGGGUGAGUGAUAUCCAUGACAGAUGUGAGUUGAUAAUUUUAAUGGUUUAUCUAAGGUGGCAACUUAAACACACAUCUGGGUGGAUUGAGGCACCUGAUGUCUAUCAGGACUUGCCUGUUUUUUUUGGACCGCCACCCAGGCUCAAAUGGAUCAUAAGAUAAUUCAUACUAGAAACUUCCGUGUGCAGCCACAUGCUACUAUGGGCUCUGGCAUAGUUGACUAAGUUGUGUGAACUCUUACGGGGUGGACUAGCAGAUGUAGGGGUUGUAGGUGGUACGGUCUACCCCACAUGUAAGGUUCUAGCGCUUCUGAAAGACUAUGUCUCGGUCAUCCGUUUCUCAAACACCAUGUAGUGCGAGAAAAUAAACGGAGGCGAUCGAGUCAUGUGGGGAAAAGUGCGCAAACCUCUGCAGAGUGUAUAAACUAAUCAUGAUUAGCCGUGUCCCCGGUUAUGGACAACUUGAGUAUCUAGUACUUGAAUAUCAUGUGAAUCUCAUCACGUUACUUAUAAUUAAUGUUGUUGGGUUUUAAUUGUUCACUUAAUUGGGAUUGGAAUGCUGUCAACCAUUCUCGAUGUUUAACAACUACCAUGAUAGUUAAAUAAAUUUAUUCCUUUGCAGUAGGGAAAAACUGGCUUUACGCAAAACUAUAACCAUAGAGCUUUCCACCAGCCAUAUAUGCAUGUAGUAUAGCUGUUUCUUUCCAUUACUCUCUAUGUGUUACAUUGCCAGCAUAUUCCAUGUGCUUACCCGUUUUCGGGCUGCAACUUUCAUGUUGCAGACUUUUCAGACGACGAGUAAGGUGCUUUUAGGUCGUGGUUCUAUACUCAGUGAUGCCAUUGGAGUUGAUGGACCCAUUUAUCUUCCGAGUCUUCCGUUGUUAUCGGCAUUAGAUGGCCUUAAGCCAUAUUUAUUGUAAUAAGUUCUCUUUGAGACAACGAUGUAAUAAGUGUGUGAUUGCCACUCUGCUAUAAAUCCUUCGAUGUACUGUGUGGUGUCAGCAUUACUGAUCCAGGGAUGACACCUGAGCACAGAGCACUUGAUCCAUUCGGGUCGGGUCGCUACAUUCCAAGAGGCUUUGUUGCAACAAUGGAGGUUCAGUCUACAUUAUUGGGAAAGAUUCAAUGAGCUCAGAAGGAUGAUGAGGAAAUUGCCGAGAUUAAGGAGAAGAUGAGCAAAGGAAAAGCCAAAUGUUUUCGUGAGGAUGAACACGAGACUUUAUGGUUUGAGGAUCAUGUAUACGUGCCCAAUAAUGCGGAGAUCAGGAAGUUAAUACUUCAGGAAGCUCAUGACUCGCCAUACUCAAUUCACCCCGAAAACACCAAGAUGUAUUUGGAUUUGAAGGAGCGUUUCUGGUGGACAGGCAAGAAGAAGGAUAUUGCUGAGUAUGUAGCAGUAUGUGACGUAUGUCAGAGAGUGAAGGCAGAGCAUCAGAAGCCAGCCGGAUUAUUACAGCCCAUGCCGAUACCCGAUUGGAAGUGGGACAAGCUUGGCAUGGAUUUCAUCACCAGAUUACCAAGGACCCGAUCAGGAUAUGAUUCCAUCUGGGUAGUAGUUGAUCGCCUAACCAAGGUAGCUCACUUUAUCCCAGUGAAAACCACCUAUAAAAGCGCGUAGUUGGCCAAGAUAUAUAUGACCUGGAUUGUAUGUCUGCAUGGAGUUCCGAGGACCAUCGUAUCAGAUAUAGGGACAUAGUUUACCAUGAAGUUUUGGAAUCAAUUGCACCAGACUUUGGGUACUAUGCUGGAGUUCAGUACAGCCUUUGAUCCGUAGACAGAUGGACAGACCGAGAGAUUUAAUCGGAUUCUGGAGGACAUGUUGAGAGCAUGUGCGCUAGAUUAUGGAUCUAGUUGGGAUGAUAAUUUACCUUACGCAGAGUUCUCAUAUGACAACAGUUACCAGGCUUGUUUGAUGAUGGCACCUUUUGAAGCCUUGUAUGGAAGGAGAUGCAGGACACCAUUAAUGUGGGUUGAAGUUGGAGACCGUCAGUUGUUUGGACCGGAUUUCAUCAAAGGGUCCGAAGAGAAGGUUAAGUUGAUUCGAGAUAGACUGAAGGUAGCUCAGUCCAGGCAGAAGAGUUAUGCCGACACUAAACGCAAGGAGGUAGUCUAUGAAAUAGGAGAUAGAGCAUAUCUUCGUGUGUUGCCACUCCAAGGAGUUAAAAGAUUUGGAGUUAAGGGAAAGUUAGCCCCGAGAUUUUUAGAACCAUACCAAGUUCUGGAACGUAUGGGAGAGGUUGCCUACAAAUUGGAGUUACCCGAAGGAUUGUCAGGAGUUCACGAUGUGUUUCACGUUUCCCAGUUGAAGAAGUGCCAUGCUGAGAUGGCCGAUAUUCCCCUAAGAGAUACAGUGCCUCUCUAAGUAAUUUAGUUGGAGAUUUAUCUAACAUACGAGGAGAAACCUGUCAAGAUUCUUGAGUUUGCCAGCCAAGUUACCCGCAGCAAGGUUAUCAAGUUUUGCAAAGUUCAGUGGAGCCACCAUACCGAGGAUGAAGCCACCUGGGAGCGAGAAGAAGACCUACGGAAAGACCACCCACACCUAUUUUCUAGCCAACCCGAAUCUCGAGGGCAAGAUUCAUCUUAAGGAGGGUAGGUUUGUAACAUCCCAAUUUGCAAUUCGGAUGUUAUACAUAGGUCAUCAUAUGCAUAUCAUAUUUUAUUUGCAUAUUUGGUUGUGAUCCUAGAAAUCUUAAGCAACUCAAGGACCCAAGGACAGAGUUGGGGAUUUCAUACAUUUUCAUAUUUGAGUUUUUCUCAAAUUUGAAAAGAGGAUCCAUUUGGUUUUAAUAUGUUUCUCUCUAAUUAUUUCCAAUAUUUAAAUUAAAAGAGAGAAGAUAAUAGACUUCUUCAAAAAGAGAGGAAUAUUGGAGGAGAAAUUUUAAAAUCAAAUUUAUAUUUUAUUUGGUUUUUAUUUGAUAUUUUAUUUGAAUUAGAAAAGUAUGCAUUUUUGGAAAUUGCAAUUUUAGCCCAGAAAAAUGUUCACUUCGUUCUAAAUAAUAGGUUUAGACGGAGAAAAUUGUUUUGGCAUUUUUUUAGAAUUUUUUUAUAUUUUAUUAGGAUUUUAUUCGGGCGGAAUUUUAUUUAAAAAAAUCCUUCCCUCGCCCAACUGGGCCGAAGGCCCAGCUGACCGGUCUAGUAGCCCACAUCGCCGCCGCCUUCCUCCCGCGCGGGGACGAGACCCGCCGCCGCAUGCAGCCGAGGGGAGUCCAAGCCGGACUCCACCCCUCGCCGCCCCCUUGCCCAAGGCCGACCCCCCUGGCCUUUAUAACCACCGCCGCCGCCGCUUCCUCCCUCACCCCGAGCCGCCGCACCACCGCCACCAAGCCGCGCCGUCGCCGCCUUUGCGCCACCGAGCCGUGCCGCUACUGCCUGCUGCUGCGGCGCCGCCUCGCUCGCGCUGCUGCCUUUCCUCGCCGCCCGCCAGAGUCCGCCGCCGUUGUUUCGUCGUUGCCGAGAAAUGGUACAAACCGCCCUGGUUCACCGGUUUAUUUUCGGGUUUUUUCGGUUCUCGGUUUAGAUCGGUUUAGGGUUAGGCUUUUCUUGGUUUUUUCCAAAUGAAUCUAUUUAGCAAACGUUCUUUGUUCUGUUUGUUUUAAUGAACAUGUUCGUUCGUUUGUCCUGACAGCGAACGUUCGUUCGAUAGCCUUUUUCUUUUAUUCUAUUUUCGGCUAGGGACCUAUCCACGAUUAUUUUUAUCGCAGAUUAGCCCAUGAUCUUCAAGCCCUCACAACUUUUUGCUCGCUCGUCCAAAUCCAGUGAAACCAACGCCAAAAUAUUCUUCUUGUUCCCCUCUUUCUAGUUAGCUAACUUGAAUAUGGAUUAAAAAUUUUAAAAUUUGGUUGCAAGCAGAUUUCAAUUCAAACUUCUUUUGAUCGUAGUUUGAGUUUCGUAGCUCCGAUUUGGUUGAUUCUUUUUGCAAAUGAAAGCUCUUCAAUUGAACUUUCAAUUUGUAUCUUUUCUCUUGAGUUUUACCAUUGCAUCUAUUGCUUGAGUGUUUAUGUAUGUUAUUGUUUGUUUGCGAUAGAGUUUCCGGAGUGCGAAGCAUGCUACUACGAGUCACUAGGGUUUUUAGAUCGUCAGCAAGGCAAGUAACACUUUGAUCAUACCCCUUAUUACCUAGUUUUUAUGCAUUAUUUCUAUCCUUGAACACUGCAUGGUUAGGACUUGAAUAUUUGUGGGUACUGGGAAGUAGUGAUGAGGUAGUACCUAUUGUCUUUAUUUCAAACCCUGGAAGUUACUUCUACGUUGUGCUUAUACUGCUAUGCUAUGCUCGUAGACGUGGUUUGGUUUGAGUGAUCCAUGACAUAUGUGAGAGUUUUAAUUAAUGGUUAAACUUAAGGUGGCUACUUUAAUACACAUCUAGGUGGAUUGGUUGAGGCAACCAGGAACACCCAGUGGUUGUCUGGGCACCUGGAGCAAUCCAGUUUUGUCCUGGGAUAUCCCGGAGUACCCAUGUGAUCAUCCUACGGUUUGGCACCCAGGCUCGAAGGGAUCAUAAGAUUAUACAUGCUGGAAACUUACGUGUGCAACCACAAGCCAUUAUGGGCUCUGUCAUAGUUGAGUAAGUUGUGUGACCUCUUUCAUUGGUAUGCUAGCAGAUGUAGGGGAUGUAGGUGGUACUGUCUACCCAGAGUAAAGAGUUAAUGCUUCUGAAAGACUGUGUCUUGGUCAUCUGUUUCUCAAACAUCAUGUAGUGAGAAAUACAGCGGAGGAGAUCGUGUCUUGUGGUGAAAAGUACGCAAACCUCUGCAGAGUGUAUAAACUAAUCAUGGUUAGCCGUGUCCCCGGUUAUGGACAUCUUGAGUAUCUGGUACCUGAAUUAUUGAUUUGAUCUCAUCACUCUAUUAAUUAAUUUGUUGGGUUGAUGACUAUAUAGUUUGGGAUUGAGUUGGAGGAACCUUCUCAAUGUUUCCAACAAACUUUGUAGUUAAAUAAAAUAUAUUCCUUUGGUGUAGGGAAAAAUUAGCUUUCUGCAAAAAUAACCAUAGAGCCUCCACCAGCCAAGUAUGCAUAUAGUUAUAGCUGCUACAUGUUCAUUGCUCUCUAGUGUUAUUUUUCCAGCAUAUUCCAUGUGCUGACCCAUUUCGGGCUGCAACGUAUUAUGUUGCAGACUUUUCAGACGAAGAGUAAGGUGCGCUAGGUCGUUGUCGUGCACUCAGCAAUGUCGUCGAAGUUGAUGGACUUAUUUUACAUUUGAAGUGUUUGAUGUUAUUUUCAUUAGAUGGCCUUCAGCCAUAUUAUUGCAACAAGUACUCUCUUUUGAGAUAUUCGAUGUAAUAAGUGUGUGAUUGACCUCUGUUAUAAAUCCUUCAAGUACUAUGUGUGUCAGCAUUAUUGAUCCUGGGAUGACACUUAUACGCAGAGAUUUGACCGCUUGAGGUCGGAUCACUACAGCCAAGCCGGGCCGACCGGUCCAUGUCAAGAUUUUUCGGGCUUGAGCCAGGCUUGUGCUGUAUUUAGUAGGCCUGACGGUCAGGCUGAGCCAGGCUCGGGCCUGGGUUUUCAGCACCGGCCGUGGUGGAAAGUAGGGGCCGGGCGGUGGGGGGAGGGGCCGGAUCUGGUGGCUUGGGUGACAGGGGCGAUAGGUGGCAGGGAGCGUGGGAGGACUGCCAGAGACGAAGAAGAUGGCGGGGAUCUAGGGUGCGGCUGUGAGGAUCUGUGGGGAGUGGGGCUUGGGGCCGACCGUGCGGGGGAGAGAGUAAGAUCGUGGGUGGAGUGGGUCAGAUGGGGUGGUCUUUAUCUUUCUUUCGUUGGUGCGCCUCGGGGUCAGUUCGGUGGGGGUGUGUGCAGAAUAAGGUUUCUGUUGUUAGAAUAAGGUCUUAAGGGGUGUUGUUCGAAUAGACCCACUCAAUUUAUAUGGCUUGUUCCCUAUAACGACUACGAUGAGGGAUAUUAUAUGGCUUGUUCCAUAGUGGUGUGGGACUUCCAAUUUUUUUUAUUAAUUUCUCAUUAUCUGACAUGAUAAUGAUGAUUUAUUUUUCUAUGUCGUGGCAAUAAAAUGAUUUUAGCUACACAAUGGAAAAAAUAUGCUAAAUCAAAAAAUAUAAAUAGCUUAUUAUUAAUUUACUUGUAUGAACCGAAUCAGGUUUCACAGAAACAAUAUAAGCAUUCACCUUCACGCAAUAUUUCUAGUACAUAUAUAAACUCAUUUCAUGGUACUUCUCAGUUCUUUCUGCAGCAGCAUGUGCUACUACUGCCUUCAACACAACUGCUCUUAUCCUUGUCAUAACCUCGGUUAACAUAGUUAGCUUUGCACGCAAUGUUGCCACUAGCUCGGUCUGGUGGCGAACAAUAGUCCACAGUUGUACAUAGGUUUGUAUCUGUGUAGUAAUCACAAUAGAGAUACCUCAAUCAACACAUAUAACCCACCAGGAAAAUAUAUAUUUGUGUAUCCAAAUACGAGUGAAGAGAUUAUGAAAGAAAGAAGAAAACCAUACCUAUGUAACGCCCUGCUGCAUGACAUGAGAAGACAGUGGUGGCCAUGGCUACAAGAGCUACCAAGCAUAGGGCCUAUGUGUAGUUCCGCAUACUGGCCAUGGGAGAUAGUUAGCUAUUCCUUUUCUGCUAAUGUUGUUCGUUGAUUUUUCUGAACUCAUGUUCUUUGCCUAGGUGCUUGAUUUAUAUUGAGCGAAAGCUAGCAGGCUUGGAGCUUAACACGGAAGAAAAACUUGGAGUAAAUUUAUUUCUUUCCUCCUAUAGCUUUGUAGUAAAUAAAUGCCUCUUUGUACAAAGGCUUGCUAUAAUCUCCACAAUAAAUUCUUGCCAUUUAAUCAUAUUAUGUAUUAAUGCAUCGUUAUCUGCAUUGUGUUAAUGCGUCCUUAUCCUCAUUAAUAUAUGCUUGGUAGAUGAGCCUAUUAUACAUGUGGUUUACUUUAUCCCAUGGUAGUUCUGAUAUACAGUGCCCUCACCCACACUCAUUGAUACAGAAAAAGUAGAGUUGUCCUCAUGAGUAGGGAUGAAAACAAAGCAAAAUGCACAAAACUUAGUCCUGCCACAUUAUUUUUGUAUUUCUAAAUGCAUAAAUGAAUAACAAAACCAAGCAAACGAAUAUACAAACAUAUCAUAUUGGAAAUAGAUACAUACCAAAUAUGCUAUCUAUACAAAUAAAAAAGCUAUGGAUGGGUGCUUGACAUGGUGCCAUCACGACAGCAAUCUGAUGUCCCUAACACUUGGUUGCGCUAAUACGCCUACUCGUUUACUUGAUUUGGCAGUAGAACAAAUUAGGUUGAGUUCAUUCAUCACACGGGGUGCAAAAUAAGUUAUUCUUCACUCGAGAAAAUGUUACAUAAUUUCAUAAAUAAAUUAUAUUCGAAAUACAAAUCGUUACAUUCAUAUUGAUUCACCGCGUAAAAUGUGGCAUAAGAAAAAAAUAUAGGUCAUAAGACCAGAAACAUUGCAUUCUAUGUACAUUUUACAUUAAGUUUUUACAUUUAUAUCUUACAUAACAUAACAUAUUUUUACGGUGAUUAUAUAUUUUCAUACGUUCUUUUUUUACAUCUGAAAUAAGACAAAAUUUACGGAACAUAAAAGUACGAUGCAUUAAUAAAAUAGAGAGGGGUGAACAAUAACUAUUCCUCACCAAGGGUGACGAACAUAUAAUUUUACGUUCUAACCACCACGCGCACCAACAAAUUAAACUAAACUGUCACGCGUGCCUACACCCACCAUAGAAGCAAACACUUCAUUUGAUAGUCAAACAAUUACCAUGUAGUAAAUCUAAGAAACCCAAUCAUACAACAAUUAUUGUGUAGUAAUGUUUAAGAAAUAUUUCCUUCUAGUCGAUGUUAUUUCCAUAAACUUCCAAACCUCCUCCGGAGGCAAAAAGAACUACACUGCAAUAUUAGCAGAAAAAAUUGCAUGCCCUAUUUGGGUACUGCUUGCGAUGUUAAACCAUUCGUUGGAAGGAGGCGUGUAAUAUACCGUUGGAAAGCUAUGGAUUAGGCACAACUGUGCCACAUUGAACACUUUUCUAUAUUCGUCACGGUUUAAAAGCAGUGUAAAAAAUGAUGCGGCACCCGAUGAGUGGCAGCGAGCGUAUUUUCGUGUUUUUCCGAACGGCUUGUCGGAAUUAUGCAAAUCAUAUGUUGUUGGAAAUAUAUCAUCGAGGCACAACUUUUUAAUAUAUAAUACUCUCUCUAAUUCUUUACGGUGUAAGAGCAGUUUCAAAUUUACCAAAACACGAAAACUCUGUUUUUCAAAUUUUGAGAUUUUUCGUUCCAGUUUUCGCGGCAAUUUUUUAACCGCGUGAGUUUUGGUUGUCUUUUUCAUACUUAUCUUUUGAAGCGCGUGGACCUGCCGAGUGGACAGCAUGGACUGAGCGAGCGAAUCGCACUGCAUCGAGAAGUGAACCAAAUUUUUUUGUUGUUGUUUUCCUAAUAUUUUCGCAUUUCACAUUGGAAACAAGUGAACAAGAUCACUCUUGAAAGUGUACCAUCGGGGCAUAAACUAGUAAACUAUAUCUGAAAAGAAGUGAACUUCUUACGAUGUUUUUCUUUUUUCCCGUUUUACAAAGUGAACUACAGAAGAUGUUUACACUGAACCGCAUCCCAAGUAAUCUUUUUUUUUUGUCAAUACGGACUGCAUCCCACCAUGUUUGGAUUAUUUUUCUACUGCAUACGACAACCGAAUUUUGAGCAAUGAGCAAUGAACCAUGGUGGUUUCCCACAAUCUUUUGUCUUCUUUUAUUGGAGCGAACCACAUAGUUGUGGCAAACGAACUACACUUGUGUUUUCUAUUAGUUGGCAUGGAAUCUAAAUGAACCACAUCAGUUCUUUUUGUAUUUUUAAAAUAAAAAAAUACAAAUAUAUAUGGACUUCGUGCUCAAACUUAGGAACUGCAAUUGUUUUUCAUGAUUAUGUACUAUGGGGAUCAUUUCUAUUUUUCACUUUUAGUAUUUUAUAUAGAGGGGAAGAAAAUGAACUGCAAUACUUCUUUUUUUCUCACAGGUGUGUACUGUAAAAAUGGACCUAAAACAAAUAAUCAAGAUUACAAUCCGGUCCUUUUGGACACGCCUUGGAUGUGACUACUCGUCACCAUCCUCAGCUGCCAUCGUGGCCGAACACCAUGCCCCCAACUAGACGUCUUAGCGCCGGUAAGUGCACUGUGUCUUGUCGGGAUUCGAACUACAAUGGUGUUGAACAUAGAGCUCGCUAGAAACCAAGCCGUUGUUUGUCGUUGUCUCUCAGUGUGCCCAUCAACUCCAUAGAGACGCAAACUGAACCACAUCUCAAACCCCCACUCCAGCAGCAUGUAGAAACCGCAUGCCACAUGAAUGUCAUCUUCACGCAAAUGGAGCUGCAAUCAAAAUAAGAAGCACACUGUACCAAACAUUGCCCAAAUUAAAAAUAGCGAACUACAAAAAAAUAUUUUUUUGGAAAAGGUGAUGCACGUACUACACUUGGGUUUCCCUUCACACUGCAUGUCCGGGAUGCCUUGACUGCAAGGGGAGGAGGGCAGCUCAUCGAGUCGUACUGCAUGGGCGUGCGGUGAUGAUCAACGAACUGCACAUAGCGCGCUGCCGAGCUACACCGGAAAAAGGGGAUGGAGGUCAGCAGGAUGGGGCGCUCGUCAAUCCAAGUCGAACAACACAGGAGGAGUAACUGAAUUGCCUGCAAAUCCAACAUGAACCUCGCCGAAGUGGAGGUGGAUUUCCUGGUGUGGUUUUGCCACGACAAAUGUCCUUGUGAGAGGACUAAGUUGUGAAGCCAUCGCCGCUAGAAGGAAACUUGGAUGGGGUUGAUCGCAACAUGAUAAGACUCGAUUUUACCGAGGUUCGACCCCUAAUGGUGGAGGUGAAAGCCUACAUCCUGCUUGAUUGCUAUUGAUUGUCAUGGUCUCGAUUACAAGGGCGCUAUUUUGGUACCUCUGCCUCGAGAGCUAUCAAAACAUGAAUCUGUCUCGAGACCUAUGAAAACAUCUCUCUUGAUACUUGUCUAUCUAGAAACUCAUGCUUCUCAUGACCCUCAGACUCGCUUUAUAUCAUAGUUGGGUCCAUGGGGUUACAAGAGAUUCUGGGUUAUACCCACGGUCGAAGUCCUACUCUAAAUCCCCUAAAUCCUCCAUGUCUUCCAGGUCUAGCGUUUCCAUCUUGUAUUUGGACUCCUUGGUGGAAUUUCAUCUAAGUACAGGUCAUGUAGCAGGCCGGGUCCUGUAGCAGGCCGGGUCAAGAUUGUAGCCAGGUCAAGAUUGUGGUUGGGUCAAGAAUGUAGUUGGGUCAUGAUUGUAACUAGCUGUCUUAACUCCAGAAAUGACUUAACUCUAGAGAUGACUUAUCCUCAGAUCCUGGUCUAGCCACGGGUAACUCCCCCGACAGGUCCUCUCGCUCCCGCCUGCAUAGGGGUGCUGGAGGCAUGUUGGCCGUUGACACAUUUUUGGAGGCAGCCUAGGAUUUGUGAUAGCUUGCACACGCGUCAGGAUCCACCAGAGAAGGGGGAACUGGAAAAGGUUGCUUGAGAAGGGACAUGAUAUUAGGCCGACGGUGGGAGGCCGAUACGUCUCCAACGUAUCUAUAAUUUUUUACUGUUCCAUGCUAUUAUAUUAUAUGUUUUGGAUGUUUUAUAUGCAUUAAUAUGCUAUUUUAUAUUAUAUUUGGGACUAACUUAUUAACCUAGAGCCCAGUGCCAGUUUCUAUUUUUUCCUUGUUUUUGAGUUUUACAGAAAAGGAAUAUCAAACGGAGUCCAAACGGAAUAAAUCUUUACGAUGAUUUUUCUUGGAUCGGAAGACGCACGUAGGACUUGGAGACCAAGGCAGAAGAGUCCUGAGGCGGCGGCAAGGGUGCAGGGCGCGCCCCAGGGGGGCGCCCCCUGCCUUGUGGGUCCCUUGAAGCUCCUCUAACCCUAAUCUUCGGCAUAUAAAUUUAGAAAUAUUCCAAACAAUCAGAGGCAUCCACGAAAAUACUUUUCCACCGCCACAAGCCUCUGUUCCCGUGAGACACAUCUUGGGGCCUUUUCCGGCAAUCUGCCGGAGGGGGAUUUGAUCAUGGAGGGCAUCUACAUCAACCUAAUUGCCCUUCCAAUGAUGUGUGAGUAGUUUACCUUAGACCUACGGGUGUAGAGCUAGUAGCUAGAUGGCUUGUUCUCUCUCUAUGAUCUUCAAUACCAAGUUCUCCUUGAUGUUCUUGGAGUUUUAUCCGAUGUAAUAUUCUUUUCCGGUGUGUUUGUCGACAUCCAAUGAAUUAUGAAUUUAUGAUCAGAAUAUCUAUGAAUAUUAUUUGAAUCUUCUCUGAAUUCUUAUAUGCUUGAUUUGGUAUCUGUGUAUUUCUCUUCGAAUUAUCGGUUUGGUUUGGCCAACUAGAUUGGUAUUUCUUGCAAUGGGAGAGGUGCUUAGUUUUGGGUUCAAUCUUGCGGUGUCCUCACCCAGUGACAUAGUAGGGGUAGCGAGGCAUGUAUUGUAUUGUUGCCGUCAAGGAUAAAAGAUAGGUUUUUCAUAAUAUUGCUUGAGUUUAUUCCUCUACAUCAUGUCAUCUUACUUAAGGCAUUACUCUGUUCUUUAUGAACUUAAUACUCUAGAUACAUGUUGGAUAGCGGUCGAUGUGUGGAGUAAUAGUAGUAGAUGCAGGCAGGAGUUAGUCUACUUGACACAGCCGUGAUGCCUAUAUGCAUAAUCGCCUUGGAUAUCGUCAUAACUUUGCGCUUUUCUAUCAAUUGCUCGAUAGUAAUUUGUUCACCCACGGUAUGUUUUCUUUCAAGAGAGAAGCCUCUAGUGAAACAUAUCGCCCCCGGGAUCUAUUUUCCAUCAUAUAUUUUCGGAUCUAUAAACCAAAAAACCCAAAAAUACCUUGCUGCAGUUUUUUUACGUUUUAGUAAUCUUUUAUAUCUAUCUCUAUCAGAUCUCACCAUUGCAAUUGAUCAUGAAGGGAUUGACAACCCCUUUAUCGCGUUGGGUGCAAGUGUUUGAUUUUUUGUUGAGGUGCAUAGAUUGGAGACUUGCUUGUACCUCCUACUGGAUUGAUACCUUAGUUCUCUAACUGAAGGAAAUACUUUCUCUACUUUGCUGCCUCACCCUUUCCUCUUCAAGGGAAAAACCAACGCAAGCUCAAGAAGUAGCAUGAAGAAUUUCUGGCGCCGUUGCUGGGGAGGUUUGACAUCAAGCCUACCAAGUACCCAUCAUAAACUCUCAUCUCUUGCAUUACAUUAUUUGCCAUUUGCCUCUCGUUUUCCUCCCCCCACUUCUAAAACAAUUUUUAGAAAACACAAAGAUAUUUGCCUUUUUUAUUCUCCCUUCUUUUGCUCGUCUUUUCGUUUACUUUUUGUUUGCUAGAAUUCCCGUACGGCUCAACCCAAAAGCUUUGAUCCUUAUUUCAGGAAGUUGGAAGAGAUUGAAAGUAAUGCUAAAAGUUUCAUGACUUUACAAUAUGAGUAUAACGAUUUCUUUAGAAAUGGGCUUAAAGAAAAAAACUAUGAUGGGGUAUAUUAAUAAAGAUCUUGAUGACAUGUCUAAGGAAUUUUAUGGUUUGAAAUCUCAAUUUUCUCAUUGAAAAUUUAGUAGGCAAAAUUUAUGAUAAGCAUUCUACUUUAGUAAAUAAGAUGGCCGCUAAACCGGAGUCUUUGAAUAAUGAUGAAGAUCUUAAAGUGAUUGAUGUGACUCCUAUUGAAUCUUUGUUUUCUAAUAUAAAUCUUGAUAAAUAUGGGACUAGAGAUGAGUCAACUUUAGCUAGAAGGCAUCCCAAUGAUUCGCAGUUUAUAGAUCUUGAUGCAAAAAUUGAUAAAAGUGGGAUUGGAGUGGUCAAAACUUUAAGUAGCAAUGAAUCCGCUCUUUUGGAUUUAAAGGACUUUAAUUAUGAUAAUUGUUCUUUGAUAGAUUGUAUUUCCUUGUUGCAAUCCAUGUUGACUUCUCCUCAUGCUCAUAAUCAAAGUAAAGCAUUUACUGAACAUAUUGUUGAUGCCAUGAUGAAAUCCUUUGAAGAAAAACUUGAGUUGGAAGUUUCUAUCCCUAGAAAGCUUUAUGAUGAGUGGGAACCUAUUGUUAAGUGAAAAUUAAAGAUUAUGAGUGCCAUGCUUUGUGCGAUUUGGGUGCUAGCAUUUCCACCAUUCCAAAAACUCUAUGUGGUGUGUUAGGUUUCCGUGAAUUUGAUUAUUGUUUUUUAAAUUUGCAUCUGGCGGAUUCCACUAUUAAAAAACCUAUAGGAAGGAUCAAUGAUGUUCUUAUUGUUGCAAAUAGGAAGUAUGUGCCCGUAGAUUUCAUUGUUCUUGAUAUAGAUUGAAAUCCUACAUGCCCUAUUAUUCUUGGUAGACCUUUCCUUAGAACAAUUCAUGCCAUUAUUGAUAUGAAAGAAGGAAACAUUCGAUUUCAGUUUCCAUUAGUCAAACACUUUCUAAGAAAGAAAAUUAAGUUGCCAUAUGAGUGUAUUAUGAUAGCUACUUAUGGAUUGCAUACCAAAGAUAACAAUACCUAGAUCUAUUGCAAUAUGCCUAGCUAGGGGCGUUAAACAAUAGCGCUUGUUGGGAGGCAACCCAAUUUUUUUUGUGUUUUUUGUUUUGCUUCUGUUCUUGAAUAAAAUACACAUUAUUACCUCUAUAGUAAUUUUGUUUUUGUGUUUUUAAUUAGUGUUUGUGCCAAAUAAAGCCUUUGGGAUACUUUGGUAUAUCAUUGAUUUGAUCUUGCUGAAAAACAGAAACUUAUGCGCUCAUUGCCAGCAUUGUUAAAAAUCACAUAAGCGUGAUAAAAUCCUGAAGGUGGGGUGGGGCGGUGGGGGGAGAGGGGCCGAAUCUGGUGGCUUCGGUGACAUGGGGCGAUAAGUAGCUGGGAGCAUGGGUGGACUGCGAGAGACAAAGAAUAUGGAGGGGAUUUGGGGUGCGGCUGCAAGGGUCUGUGGGGAGUGGGGCUUGGGGCCGAACGUGCCGGGGGGGGUGAGUGAGAUCGUGGGAGGAGUAGGCCUGGGGUCUUGUUAGAAUAGACCCACCCUAUAUAUGGCUUGUUCCCUAUAACGACUACAAUCAGGGAUAUUCUAUGGCUUGUUCCAUAGUGGUGUGAGAAUUCCAAUCUUCUUGAUUAAUUUCUCAUUAUUUGACGUGAUAAUAAUGAUUUAUUUUUGUGUGUCAUGUCAUUAAAAUAACUUUAGCGAUGCAAUGGAAAAUAGAUACUAAAUAAACAAUUAUCAUUAGCUUAUUAUUAAUUUAUUUGUAUGAACUGAAUCAGGUUUCACACAAACAAUAUAAGCAUUCACCUCCAGGCAAUAUUUCUAGUACAUAUAUAAACUCAUUUCAUGGUACUUCUUAGUUCUUUCGGCAGCAACAUGUGCUACUACUACCUUCCAUGCAACUGCUCUUAUCCUUGUCAUAACCUCGGUUAACACAGUUAGCUUUGCACGCAAUGUUGCCACUAGCUCGGUCUGGUGGCGAACAAUUGUCCACAGUUGUACACAGGUCAUUAUCUGUGCACAAAUCACAAUAGAGAUACCUCAAUCAACACAUAUAACCCACCAGGAAAAUAUAUGUUUCUGUAUCCAAAUACGAGUGAAGAGAUUGUGAAAGAAAGAAGAAAACCAUACCUACAUAACGCCCUGCUGCAUGACAUGAGAAGACAGUGGUGGUCAUGGCUACAAGAGCUACCAAGCAUACGGCCUGUGUGUAGUUCCGCAUACCGGCCAUGGGAGAUAGUUAGCUAUUCCUUUUUUGCUAAUGUUGUUCGUUGAUUUUGCCGAAUUCAUGUUCUUUGCCUAGGUGCUUGCGUUUAUAUUGAGGGAAAGCUAGCAGUCUUGGAUCUCUUAAUACAGAAGAAAAACUUGGAGUAAAUUUAUUUCUUUCCUCCUAUAGUUUUGUAGUAAAUAAAUGCCUCUUUGUACAAAGGCUUGCUAUAAUCUCCACAAUAAAUUCUUGCCAUUUAAUCAUAUUAUGUAUUAAUGCAUCCUUAUCCGCAUUGUGUUAAUGAUGUCGUAUCCUCAUUAAUACAUGCUUGGUAUAUGAGCCUAUUAUACAUGUGGUUUAACUUAUCCCAUGGUAGUUCUGAUUUACAGUGCCCUCACCCACACUCAUUAUAGAAAAAGUAGAGUUGUCCUCACGAGUAGGGAUGAAAACAAAGCAAAAAUGCAUGAAACUAAGUGUUGCCAUAUUAUUCUUUAUUUUUUCUGAAUGCAUAACUGAAUAUAAAAACCAAGCAAAUGAAUAUAGAAACAUAUCGUAUUGGAAAUAGAUACAUACCAAAUAAGAUAUCUACACAAAUACAAAAGCUAUGGAUGGGUGGUUGACACAGUGCCAUCAGGACAGUAGUCUGGUGUCCCUAACACUUGGUUGCGCUAAUAGGCUACUCGAUUACUUGAUUUAGUAGUAGAACAUAUUAGGUUGAGUUUCUUUCAUAGAGAUUGACAAGGGCCUGCAUGACAAGGCCUAAUGGAGCUGUAAUGUCCACACUAUGAUGGAAAGUUUUUUAUUUGGGGAAGGGUAAAUUCCAUUUCCAUAUCCAUUCCACCAAAAAUUGAUGUUCUAUCCACUUAAAGAUUUAUGUUUUUGUUUCCUUAUUUGUGGAAAACAUAAAUAUUGAACAUUUAAGUGUCGAUUUCAUUCCUACUACUGAGAGUGCGCGUCUAUGACGGGAUAGAAAUUUUUGGUAUUUUUCCCGAUCAAUACAAAACACUUAAUGAAGUUUCACCUCAUCACAAUGAAAGGGGUAAUAGUUAUGAAAAUCUUACAUGGGUAAUAGUUAUGAAAAAUCCAGUUCGUAGGCUCGUCAUGGUCCUGUAACAUGACCUACAGAACCGGAUUACCGUACCACUCUGUUGUGGAUCUUACUCUGGUUGACCUACGAGGUUCGGUAGCAACUUGAUCAGACAUUUCAUGAUCAUCAUCAUUAGCUUCCUCACUUACUGGUGUUGGAAUCAUUGGAACUGAUUUCAGUGAUGAACUACUUUCCAAUAAAGGAGCAGGUACAAUUACCUCAUCAAGUUCUACUUUCCUCCCACUCACUUCUUUCGAGAGAAACUGCUUCUCUAGAAAGGAUCCAUUCUUAGCAACGAAUAUAUUGCCUUCGGAUCUAUGAUAGAAGGUGUACCCAACAGUAUCCUUUGGGUUUCCUUUGAAGACACAUUUCUCCGAUUUGGGUUCGAGCUUAUCAGGUUGAAGAUUUUUUCACAUAAGCAUCACAGCCCCAAACUUUAAAAACGACAACUUGGGUUUCUUGGCAAACCACGGUUCAUAAGGUGUCGUCCCAAUAGAUUUAGAUGGUGCUCUAUUUAACAUGAAUGCGGCUGUCUCUAAAGCAUAACCCCAAAACGAUAGUGGUAAAUCAGUAAGAGACAUCAUAGAUCGCACCAUAUCUAGUAAAGUAUGAUUACGAUGUUUGGAUACACCAUUACGAUGUGGUUUUCUGGGUGGCGUGAGUUGCGAAACUAUUCCGCAUUGUUUCAAAUGAAAACCAAACUCGUAACUCAAAUAUUCUCCUCCACGAUCAGAUCAUAGAAACUUUAUUUUCUUGUUACGAUGAUUUCCACUUCACUCUGAAAUUCUUUGAACUUUUCAAAUGUUUCAGACUUAUGUUUCAUUAAGUAUGAUCUCCAAUAACUCUGUUGCUCGCUCCAUUGUUCCGGAGAACUGAGUUUUAGUCAUCUUACACAUGAGGCAUGGUUCGCAAGUACCAAGUGAUUUAUAAUCAAGUGAUUCCAUAAGUCCAUCAGAAUGGAGUUUCUUCAUGCGCUUUACACCAAGAUGACCCAAACGGCAGUGCCCCAAAUAAGUUGCACUAUCAUUAUCAACUCUGCAUCUUUUGGAUUCAAUACUAUGAUCAUGUAUAUCACUACUAUCAAGAUUUAGUAAAAGUGGACCACUCAUCAAGGGUGCAUGACCAUAAAAGAAACUCCUCAUAUAAAUAGAAGAACCAUUAUUCUCUGAUUUCAAUGAAUAACCGUCUCGCAUCAAAAAGAUCCAGAUAUAAUAUUCAUGCUCAACGCUGGCACAAAAUAACAAUUAUUUAGGUCUAAAACAAAUCCCAAAGGUAGAUGUAGAGGUAGCGUGCUGACGGCGAUCACAUCGACUUUGGAACCAUUUCCCAUGUGCAUCGUCACCUCGUCCUUAGCCAAUCUUCGCUUAAUCCGUAGCCCCUGUUUCGAGUUGCAAAUAUUAGCAACAGAACCAAUAUCAAAUACCCAGGCACUACUGCGAGCAUUAGUAAGGUACACAUCAAUAACAUGUAUAUCAAAUAUACCUUUCGCUUUGCCAUCCUUCUUUUCCGCCAAAUACUUGGGGCAGUUCCGCUUCCAGUGACCAGCCCUUUGCAGUAGAAGUACUCAGUUUCAGGCUUAGGUCAGGACUUGGGCUUCUUCACUUGAGCAGCAACUGGCUUGCUGUGCUUCUUGAAGUUCCCCUUCCUCCCUUUACCCUUUUUCUUGAAACUGGUGGUCUUGUUGACCAUCAAACAAUUGCUUGGCUUGUCAUCGAGGUUGUGCAUGAUUUAAAUAUUUUGUGUGAUGAAGAUAGAGCAUAGCCAGACUAUAUGAUUUUGUAGGGACAGCUUUCUUUGGCCAUGUUAUUUUGAGAAGACAUGGUUGCUUUGUUGGUAUGCUUGAAGUAUUAUUAUUUUCAUGUCAAUAUUAAACUUUUGUCUUGAAUCUUAUGGAUCUGAAUAUUAAUGCCACAAUAAAGAGAAUUACUUGGAUAAAUAUGUUAGGUAGCAUUCCACAUCAAAAAUUCCGUUUUUACCAUUUACCUACUCGAGGACGAGAAGGAAUUAAGCUUGGGGAUGCUGAUACGUCUGCAACGUAUCUAUAAUUUUUUAUUGUUCCAUGCUAUUAUAUUAUCUGUUUUGGAUGUUUAUGGGCUUUAUUAUACACUUUAAUAUUAUUUUUGGGACUAACAAAUUAACCGGAGGCCCAGCCCAAAUUGCUGUUUUCUUGCCUAUUUCAAUCGAAGAAAAGGAAUAUCAAACAGAGUCCAAACGGAAUGAAACCUUCGGGAGAGUUAUUUUUGGAACAGAAGCAAUCCAGGAGACUUGGAGUAUACGUUAGGGAAGGUUCGAGGUGGCCAUGAGGCAGGGAGGCGCGCCUGCCCCCUAGGCGUGCCCCCACCCUCGUGGGCCCCUCGUGGCUCCCUUGACUGACUUCUUUCACCUAUAUAUAUAGCAACAUACCCUAAAAACACCAGGGAGCAGAAUAGAUCGGGAGUUCUGCCGCCAGAAGCCUCCGUAGCCACCGAAAACCAAUCUAGACCCGUUCCGGCACCCUGCCGGAGGGGGGAAUCCCUCUCCGGUGGCCAUCUUCAUCAUCCCGGCGCUCUCCAUGACGAGGAGGGAGUAGUUCACCCUCGGGGCUGAUGGUAUGUACCAGUAGCUAUGUGUUUGAUCUCUCUCUCUCUCUCUCUCUCGUGUUCUUGAGGUGGUACAAUCUUGAUGUAUCGUGAGCUUUGCUAUUACAGUUGGAUCUUCUGAUGUUUCUCCCCCUCUACUCUCUUGUAAUGGAUUGAGUUUUCCCUUUGAAGUUACCUUAUCGGAUUGAGUCUUUAAGGAUUUGAGAACAAUUGAUGUAUGUCUUGCACGUGCUUAUCUGUGGUGACAAUGUGAUAUCACGUGAUCCACUUGAUGUAUGUUUUGGUGAUCAACUUGCGAGUUUCGUGACCUCGUGAACUUAUGCAUAGGGGUUGGCACACGUUUCUGUCUUGACUCUCUGGUAGAAACUUUGGGGCACUCUUUGAAGUUCUUUGUGUUGGUUGAAUAGAUGAAUCUGAGAUUGUGUGAUGCAUAUCGUAUAAUCAUACCCACAGAUACUUGAGGUGACAUUGGAGUAUCUAGGUGACAUUAGGGUUUUGGUUGAUUUGUGUCUUAAGGUGUUAUUCUAGUACGAACUCUAUGAUAAAUUGAACGGAAAGAAUAGCUUCGUGUUAUUUUACUAUGGACUCUUGAAUAGAUCGAUCAGAAAGGAUAACUUUGAGGUGGUUUCGUACCCUACCAUAAUCUCUUCAUUUGUUCUCCGCUAUUAGUGACUUUGUAGUGACUCUUUGUUGCAUGUUGACGGAUAGUUAUAUGAUCCAAUUAUGUUAUUAUUGUUGAGGGAACUUGCACUAGUGAAAGUAUGAACCCUAGGCCUUGUUUCAACUCAUUGCAAUACCAUUUGUGCUAACUUUUAUCAUUAGUUGCCUUGCUGUUUUUAUAUUUUCAGAUUACAAAAACCUAUAUCUAUCAUCCAUAUUGCACUUGUAUCACCAUAUCUUUGCCGAACUAGUGCACCUAUACAAUUUACUAUUGUACUGGGUGUGUUGGGGACGCAAGAGAUUCUUUGUUAUUUGGUUGCAGGGUUGUUUGACAGAGACCAUCUUCAUCUUACGCCUCCCACGGAUUGAUAAACCUUAGGUCAUCCACUUGAGGGAAAUUUGCUACUGUCCUACAAACCUCUGCACUUGGAGGCCCAACAACGUCUACAAGAAGAAGGUUGUGUAGUAGACAUCAGGAGCCCAUAGAGUUUCCUUUGAUGCACCAACCUGGAGUCUAGGAAAGAGCAUGGCCGCUCACAUUGCCAUGGGACGCAUCGGCGAAGUUUACCACAAGGAUCUUAAGGACACCAUCUACUAGAUAUGUGGAUGCCGAGAUGAGCAAUGGGAGAUGAUCAGCACCAGGAGGGACAAGUCCAUUGCAGCCUACAUCCAGGAGUUAAACCAACAGAUUCAUCAUCGGGAGAACCAUAUGUGCGCCAGCAUGAUGGACCUGAAGAAGGUGAUGACCAGGAACAUGGAGCUAGAAGAGGAACUCAAGUCUACACGCGAUGGAUAUGAAUACGAAAUUGCAGUACUACUGGAGAAGAAUGAAGAUCUGAAGAAGAGGCUAGGAGUAUUCAUGGGAGACCCUGCGCCAGGAGGUGACGGCCAUCCCGAAGACUACAUCAUCAUCGACGACACCGACUCCGACCCCGACAGUGAUGACGACUGUGAAGACGAAGCUGGAGAAGAUAUCAUGGAGUCUUUUUCCAAUCAAAAUUUUUAGUCGACCACCAUAUUAUCAGUAGUAUUCCCCCAUAGUAGUAAUCCGAGUAUUUUGUAACGGUAGCAAGAUCGACUGUAUGCCCUUGUUUGAAUUGAGUGAUGUGAUAUGAUUGUGUUUGUAUCAUGUGCAUAUGAGUAGUGAUUUUCUAAGGUUGAAUCCGCUGGUGUUUUCCAGUAGCACCGAGCUUAUAGUUGCUAAUGACUGGCUCCGCAGGAUUCGAAGGGAUAUAACCACCACAGGUUGCACAGAUGCUAAGAAGGUAUUCUUUUCCACACAACAAUUGGAUGGACCAGCAGCCUCAUGGUGGGAGAAUUACACAACCACUUUUCCCAUAGCCAAUGUCACAUGGGAUCAGUUUUAGCAAGCUUUUCGGUACUACGGGCCCAUGUCUCAACUGGAGCAAUGAGUAUGAAGAAGCGCGAGUUUCGCAACUUACUCCAGGGAAAUCGUACUGUGUGGCAGUAUGUGGAUGAGUUUAGUAGGUUAGCUCGUUAUGCCCCGGACGAUGUGGUCACAGAUGCCGCGAAGCAGAAGAAGUUUAUGGAAGGGCUGAAUGAUGAGCUGAGCAUGCAGUUGAUGGUGGCAACAUUCAAUAACUAGCAGGAUUUGGUAGAUAGGGCCCUUAUGAUUGAAGGCAAGCCGCAACAAAUAGAGAGCCGCAAAAGGAAGUACGGACAAGGAAGUAUAAUUCUGGAGCUCAGCAGAAGCCCUGUUUUAUCCCGAACUCGGGAGGACAGACUCAUUACCAUGGAGGCCAUACCCAUAAUGGAGGGAGUUUGCAUAACCAUUGUGUCCCUAAGAAUAGGAAUGGGAAUGGAGGGAGCAACAGACAUAACCGUUCCAACCCAGCAACACCCGCCAGGAAGGAUCUAAGUCACAUUACUUGUUUCAAGUGCGGGAAGACUGGACACUAUGCCACUGAAUGUCCUGAAGCAAAGAUUGGAAAUGGCAAUGGAAGCUCAGGGAAGAAGCCAAACCCUUUCAUGAGAGGUCAGGUGAACCACAUCAACGUGGAGGAGGUUGAAGAACGGCCUGAUGAAGUGAUCGGUAAGUUUUUGAUUAAGUCAUUUACCGGUCUCGCUCUUUUUGACACUGGUGCAUCACAUUCAUACAUAUCAAGGGUAUUUGUGGACAAGUUUAAGUUGCCAACCUUAGGCCUUAGGUCACCCAUGGUGUGAUCGGCCCUAAUUAUUGGUAGCCACGUUUUCCCCUCAGACCUAAUAAUUUUGGAGUCCCAAGGAUUGGAUAUAAUAUUAGGCAUGGAUUGGUUAUUGAAGUAUGGAGGAAACAUCGAUUGUACUAGUAAGUCAAUUUUACUCACCACCCCGGAGGGAAUGAGGAUCAAGUAGGUGUCUAGGCAUGCGCCAAGGAGGACCCAAGUGAAUUCUCUCUCAGGAGUUGUUCAGGAAGAAGUGCCUGUUGUGAAGGAUUACCUGGAUGUAUUUCCAGAGGAGCUACCAGGCAUGCCGCCAGAUCGAGACAUGGAAUUUUUUGAUAGAGAUCUUGCCACGCACCGGACCAAUAUCAAAGAGACCGUAUCGGAUGCCCGCAAAUGAUCUAGAGGAAAUUAACAAGCAGAUUAAGGAGUUAUUGGAGAAGGGUUAUACCUGACCAAGUUCAUCAUCGUGAGGAGCCCCGGUGCUCUUAGUUGAGAAGAAGGAUGGAUCUUUGAGAAUGGUUGUUGAUUAUCGGGCAUUGAAUGAAGUGAUAAUCAAGAACAAAUACUCACUCCCGAUGAUCAAUGAUCUAUUUGACCAGUUGCAAGGAGCUAAAGUAUUCUCCAAGAUCGACCUUCAAUCAGGAUACCACCAGCUAAAGAUCCGAGAACAUGAUAAACCUAAGACAGCUUUUACCACAAGGUACGGGCUAUAUGAGUACACGGCCAUGUCAUUUGGAUUGACUAAUGCCCCUGCCUAUUUUAUGAGUAUGAUGAACAAGAUGUUCAUGGAGUUUUUGGAUAAGUUUGUUGUGGUGUUCAUUGAUGAUAUUUUGCUGUACUUGAAUAAUGAAGAGGAACACAAGGAACACUUGCACUUAGUUCUCGAGAAGCUCAGAGAACAUCAGCUAUAUGCCAAGUUCAGCAAGUGUGAGUUUUGGUUGAAGGAAGUUGGAUUUCUUGGACAUGUUAUAUCAGGAGAAGGUAUAGCCAUUGAUCCUACGAAGGUUCAGUCUGUCACUGAGUGGUUGGCACCCACCUCAGUUGGAGAGAUCCGCAGGUUUCUAGGACUUGCAGGAUAUUACAGGAGGUUCAUUGAGAAUUUCUCCAAGAUUGCAAAACCCAUGACAGAGUUGUUGAAGAAGGACACCAAGUUCAAAUGGACCGCGGAUUGUGAGGCAAGUUUUCAGGAGUUGAAGAAACGUUUGGUUACAGCCCUAGUGCUGAUUCUUCCGGAUAUACUCGAGGAUUUCCAAGUUUAUUGUGACGCUUCUCAUUUGGAACUUGGAGGUGUACUUAUGCAAAACAGAAUAGUUGUUUCAUAUGCCUCACGGCAGCUUCGACCUCACGAGUUGAAUUAUGCCACACAUGAUUUGGAGUUAGCAGCCGUAGUGCAUGCACUCAAGAUGUGGAGACAUUUUCUGAUUGGAAAUAGAUGUGAUUUGUACACGGAUCACAAUAUUUUGAAGUACAUUUUCUCGCAGAAGGAGUUGAAUCUCAUGUAGAGGAGAUGGUUGGAGCUCAUAAAGAAUUAUGAUAUGAAGUUGCAUUAUCAGCUAGGCAAGGCCAAUGUCUUAGCAGACGCUUUGAGCCGCAAGAGUUAUGCCAAUACGCUCGUAAGCGGAGGAUUACCGCACGAGUUAGUAGAUGAUCUCAAGGAACUUCGUUUGGAGAUAGUUCCAAGAGGUUUCGUUGCAACAAUGGAGGUUCAGUCUACAUUAUUGGGAAAGAUUCAAGGAGCUCAGAAGGAUGAUAAGGAAAUUGCUGAGAUUAAGGAGAAGAUGAGCAAAGGAAAAGCCAAAGAUUUUCGUGAGGAUGAACAUGAGACUUUAUGGUUUGGAGAUCGCGUAUACGUUCCCAAUAAUGCGGAGAUCAGGAAGUUAAUACUUCAGGAAGCUCAUGACUCGCCAUACUUGAUUCACCCCAGAAACACCAAGAUGUAUUUGGAUUUGAAGGAGCGUUUCUGGUGGACAGGUAUGAAGAAGGAUAUUGCCAAGUAUGUAGCAGUAUGCGAUGUGUGUCAGAGAGUGAAGGCAGAGCAUCAGAAGCCAGCUGGAUUAUUACAGCCCAUGACGAUACCCGAUUGCAAGUGGGACAAGAUUGGCAUGGAUUUCAUCACCGGAUUUCCCAGGACCUGAUCAGGAUAUGAUUCCAUCUGGGUAGUAGUUGAUCACCUGACCAAGGUAGCUCACUUUAUCCCAUUGAAAUCCACCUAUACAAGCGCGUAGUUGGCCAAGAUAUAUAUGACCAGGAUCGUAUGUCUGCAUGGAGUUCCGAGGACCAUCGUAUCAGAUAGAGGGACACAGUUUAGCUCGAAGUUUUGGAAUCAAUUGCACCAGACUUUGGGUACUAGGCUGGAGUUCAAUAUAGCCUUUCAUCCGCAGACAGAUGGACAGACCGAGAGAUUCAAUCAGAUUCUAGAGGACAUGUUGAGAGCUUGUGCGCUAGAUUAUAGAUCUGGUUGGGAUGAUAAUUUACCUUACGCUGAGUUCUCAUAUAACAACAGUUAUCAGGAUAGUUUGAUGAUGUCACCUUUUGAAGCCUUGUAUGGAAGGAGAUGCAGGACACCAUUAAUGUGGGAUGAAGUUGGAGACCAUUAGUUGUUUGGACGGGAUUUUAUCAAAGAGUCCGAAUAGAAGGUUAAGUUGAUUCGAGAUAGACUGAAGGUAGUUCAGUCCAUGCAGAAGAGUUAUGCCGACACUAAACGCAAGGAUGUAGUCUAUGAAAAAGGAGAUAGAGCAUAUCUUCGUGUGUUGCCACUCCGAGGAGUUAAAAGAUUUGGAGUUAAGGGAAAGUUAGCCCCGAGAUUUGUAGAACCAUACCGAGUUCUGGAACGUAUGGGAGAGGUUGCCUACAAAUUGGAGUUACCCGAAGGAUUGUCAGGAGUUCAAGAUGUGUUUCACGUUUCCCAGUUGAAGAAGUGCCAUGCUGAGAUGGCCGAUAUUCCCCUAAGAGAUACAGUGCCUCUGGAAGCAAUUCAGUUGGAGAGUGAUCUAAACUACGAGGAGAAACCUGUCAAGAUUCUUGAGUUUGCCAGCCGAGUUACCCGCAACAAUGUUAUCAAGUUUUGCAAAGUUCAGUGGAGCCACCAUACCGAGGAUGAAGCCACCUGGGAGCGAGAAGAAGACCUACGGAAAGACCACCCACACCUAUUUUCUAGCCCACCCGAAUCUUGAGGGCAAGAUUCAUCUUAAGGAGGGUAGGUUUGUAACAUCCCAAUUUUCAAUUUGGAUGUUAUACAUAGGUCAUCAUAUGCAUAUCAUAUUUUAUUUUCAUAUUUGGUUGUGAUCCUAGAAAUCUUAAGCAACUCAAGGACCCAAGGAGAGAGUUGGAGAUUUCAUAUAUUUUCAUAUUUGAGUUUUUCUCAAAUUUGAAAAGAGGAUCCAUUUGGUUUUAAUAUUUUUCUCUCUAAUUAUUUCCAAUAUUUAAAUUAAAAGAGAGAAGAUAAUAUGACUUCUUCAAAAAGAGAGGAAUAUUGGAGGAGAAAUUUUAAAAUCAAAUUUAUAUUUUAUUUGGUUUUUAUUUGAUAUUUUGUUUGAAUUAGAAAAGUAUGCAUUUUUGGAAAUUGCAAUUUUAGCCAAGAAAAAUGUUCACUUCGUUCUAAAUAAUAGGUUUAGACGGAGAAAAUUGUUUUGGCAUUUUUUUAGAAUUUUUUUUAUAUUUUAUUAGGAUUUUAUUCGGGCGGAAUUUUAUUUAAAAAAUCCUUCCCUCGCCCAACUGGGCCGAAGGCCUAGCCGAGCGGCCCAGCAGCCCACCUCGCCGCCGCCUUCCUCUUGCGCGGGGAGGAGACCCGCCGCCGCAUGCCACCGAGGGGAGUCCGAGCCGGACUCCACCCCGCGCCGCCCCCUCGCCCAAGGCUGACCCCCUGGCCUUUAUAGCCAUUGCCGCCGCCUCCUCCCUCACCCCGAGCUAACGCACCACCGUCGUCGAGCCGCGCCGUUGCCUCCUUUGCACCACCGAGCCGUGCCGCUGCCGCCAGCUGCUGCCGCGCCGCCUCACCCGUGCCGCCGCCUUUCCUCGUCUAUGAUGGAGCUAUUGUGUUCGAGCCCUCGAGGCCCCUGGCUUAUAAUAUGAUGCUUGUAUGACUUAUUUUAUUUGUAGAGUUGUGUUGUGAUAUCUUCCCGUGAGUCCCUGAUCUUGAUCGUACACAUUGCGUGUAUGAUUAGUGUACGGUCAAAUCGGGGGCGUCACAAUAUGCCUCCAAGACAUGACCCCGUAUUUGUUUUCCCACCGGAGCUCACCCAGUUGAUCCAGCAGCAGAAUGCCUUGAUGCAGCUACUAGUCCAGAACCAAGGCAACAACAACAACAACAACAACAACAAUAACAACCCACCGCCACCACCUCCAGUAGACAAAUUAGCCUAUUUUCCGAGGUUGAAUCCGCCGGUGUUUUCCAGUAGCACCGAGCCAAUAGUUGCUGAUGACUGGCUCCGCAGGAUUCGAAGGGAGCUGACAAUCGCAGGUUGCACAUAUGCUAAGAAUGUGCGCUUUGCCACACAUCAAUUGGAUGGACCAGCAGCCUCAUGGUGGGAUAAUUACACAACCACUUUUCCCAUAGCCAAUGUCACAUGGGAUCAGUUUCAGCAAGCUUUCCGUACCGCCCAUGUCUCAACUGGAGCAAUGAGUAUGAAGAAGUGUGAGUUUCGCAACUUACACCAGGGAAAUCAUACUAUGGCGUAGUACGUGGAUGAGUUUAGUAAGUUAGCUUGUUAUGCCCCGGACGAUGUGGCCACAGAUGCCGCGAAGCAGGAGAAGUUUAUGGAAGGGCUGAAUGAUGAGCUAAGCAUGCAGUUGAUGGUGGCAACAUUUAAUAACUACAAGGAUUUGGUAGAUAGGGCCCUUAUGAUUGAAGUCAAGCAACAAUAGAUAGAGAGUCGCAAAAGGAAGCAUGGACAAGGGAAGUAUAAUUCUGGAGCUCAGCAGAAGCCCCGUUUUACCCCGAACUUGGGAGGACAGACUCAUAACCAUGGAGGCCAUACCCAUAAUGGAGGUAGUUCGCAUAACCACAGUUGCCCUAAGAAUGGGAAUGGGAACGGAGGAAGCAACGGACAUAACCGUUCCAACCCAGCAACACCCGCCAGGAAGGAUCUAAGUCACAUUACUUGUUUCAAGUACGGGAAGACUAGACACUACGCCCUGAAGCAAAGAAUGGAAAUGGCAAUGGAAGCUCAGGGAAGAAGCCAAACCCUUUCACCAGAGGUCAAGUGAACCACAUCAACGUGGAGGAGGUUGAAGAACAGCCUGAUGAAGUGAUCAAUAAGUUUUUGAUUAAGUCAUUUAUCGCUCUCGUUCUUUUUGAUACUGGUGCAUCGCAUUCAUAUAUAUCAAAGGGAUUUGUGGACAAGUUUAAGUUGCCAACCUUAGCCCUUACGUCACCCAUGUUAGUAAUCUCGCCAUGAGCAGAGUAUAUGGCCAGCCGAUGGUGUGAUCGGUUAACCCUAACCAUUGGUAGCCAUGUUUUCCCCUUAGACCUAAUAAUUUUCGAGUCCCAAGGACUGGAUAUAAUAUUAGGCAUGGAUUGGUUAUCGAAGUAUGGAGGAAACAUCGAUUGUGCUAGUAAGAAUUUUAUUCACCACCCCGGAGUGAAAGAGGAUCAAGUAUAUGUCUAGGCAUGCGCCAAGGAGGACCCAAGUGAAUUCUCUCUCGGGAGUUGUUCAGGAAGAAGUGCCUAUUGUGAAUGAUUACUCGGAUGUAUUUCCAAAGGAGCUACCAGGCAUCUCGCCGGAUCGAGACAUGGAAUUUUUGAUAAAGUUGUUGCCAGGCACCGGACCAAUAUCAAAGAGACCGUAUUGGAUGCCCGAAAAUGAUCUAGAGGAAAUUAAGAAGAAGAUUAAUGAGUUAUUGGAGAAGGGUUAUAUCUGACCAAGUUCAUCACCGUGGGGAGCCCCGGUGCUCUUAGUUAAGAAGAAGGAUGGAUCUUUGAGAAUGGUUGUUGAUUAUCGGGCAUUGAAUGAAGUGACGAUCAAGAAGAAAUACCCACUUCCGAUGAUCAAUGAUCUAUUUGACCAGUUCCAAGGAGCUAAAGUAUUCUCCAAGAUCGAUCUUCGAUCAGGAUACCAUCAGCUGAAGAUUCGAGAACAGGAUAUACCUAAGACAGCUUUUACCACAAGGUACGGGCUAUAUGAGUACACGGUCAAGUCAUUUGGACUGACUAAUUCCCCUCCCUAUUUUAUGAGUAUGAUGAACAAGGUGUUCAUGGAGUUUUUGGAUAAGUUUUUUGUGGUGUUCAUUGAUGAUAUUUUGGUGUACUCGAAUAAUGAAUAGGAACACAAGGAACACUUGCGCUUAGUUCUCGAGAAGCUCAGAGAACAUCAGCUAUAUGCCAAGUUUAGCAAGUGUGAGUUUUGGUUGAAGGAAGUUGGAUUUCUUGGACAUGUUAUAUCAGGAGAAGGUAUAGCCAUUGAUCCUACAAAGGUUCAGUCUGUCACUAAGUGGUUGGCACCCACCUUAGUUGGAGAGAUCCGCAGUUUUCUGGAACUUGCAGGAUAUUACAGGAGGUUCUUUGAGAAACCCAUGACAGAGUUGUCAAAGAAGGACACCAAGUUCAAAUGGACCGAAGAUUGUGAGGCCAGUUUUCAGGAGUUGAAGAAACGUUUGGUUACAACCCCAGUGCUGAUUCUUCCGGAUAUACGAAAGGAUUUCCAAGUUUAUUGCAAUGCUUCUCGUUUGGGACAUGGAGGUGUACUUAUGCAAGACGGAAGAGUUGUUUCAUAUGCCUCAGGCAGCUUCGACCUCACGAGUUGAAUUAUGCCACACAUGAUUUGGAGUUAGCAGUCGUAGUGCAUGCGCUCAAGACCUGGAGACAUUUUCUGAUUGGAAAUAUAUGUGAUGUGGACACGGAUCACAAGAUUUUGAAGUACAUUUUCACGCAGAAGGAGUUGAAUCUCAUGCAAAGGAGAUGGUUGGAGCUCAUAAAGGAUUACAAUAUGAAGUUGCAUUAUCAUCUAGGAAAGGCCAAUGUCGUAGCCGACGCUUUGAGCCGCACUUGUAAGCGCAGGAUUACCGCAGGAGUUAGUAGAUGAUCUCAAGGAACUUCAUUUGCAAAUAGUUCCAAGAGGCUUUGUUGCAACAAUGGAGGUUCAGUCUACAUUAUUGGGAAAGAUUCGAUGAGCUCAGAAGGUUGAUAGGGAGAUUGUUGAGAUUAAGGAGAAGAUGAGCAAAGGAAAAGCCAAAGGUUUUCGUGAGGAUGAACACGAGACUUUAUGGUUUGAGGAUCGUGUAUACGUGCCCAAUAAUGCGGAGAUCAGGAUGUUAAUACUUCAGGAAGCUCAUGGCUCGCCAUACUCAAUUCACCCUGGAAACACCAAGAUGUAUUUGGAUUUGAAGGAGCGUUUCUGGUGGACAGGCAAGAAGAAGGAUAUUGCCGAGUAUGUAGCAGUAUGUGACGUAUGUCAGAGAGUGAAGGCAGAGCAUCAGAAGCCAGCCGGAUUAUUACAGCCCAUGCCAAUACCCGAUUGGAAGUGGGACAAGCUUGGCAUGGAUUUCAUCACCGGAUUACCUAGGACCCGAUCAGGAUAUGAUUCCAUCUAGGUAGUAGUUGAUUGCCUGACCAAGGUAGCUCACUUUAUCGCAGUGAAAACCACCUAUACAAGCGCGUAGUUGGCCAAGAUAUAUACGACCUGGAUCAUAUGUCUGCAUGGAGUUUCGAGGACCAUCGUAUCAGAUAUGGGGACACAGUUGACCAUGAAGUUUUGGAAUCAAUUGCACCAGACUUUGGGUACUAUGCUGGAGUUCAGUAUAGCCUUUCAUCCGCAGACAGAUGGACGGACCGAGAGAUUUAAUCGGAUUCUGGAGGACAUGUUGAGAGCAUGUGCGCUAGAUUAUGGAUCUAGUUGGGAUGAUAAUUUACCUUACGCAGAGUUCUCAUAUAACAAUAGUUAUCAGGCUAGUUUGAUGAUAGCACCUUUUGAAGCCUUGUAUGGAAGGAGAUGGAGGACACCAUUAAUGUGGGUUGAAGUUGGAGACCGUCAGUUGUUUGGACCGGAUUUCAUCAAAGAGUCCGAAGAGAAGGUUAAGUUGAUUCGAGAUAGACUGAAGGUAGCUCAGUCCAGGCAGAAGAGUUAUGCCGACACUAAACGCAAGGAGGUAGUCUAUGAAAUAGGAGACAGAGCAUAUCUUCGCGUGUUGCCACUCCGAAGAGUUAAAAGAUUUGGAGUUAAGGGAAAGUUAGCCCCGAGAUUUGUAGAACCAUACCAAGUUCUGGAACGUAUGGGAGAGGUUGCCUACAAAUUGGAGUUACCCGAAGGAUUGUCAGGAGUUCACGAUGUGUUUCACAUUUCCCAAUUGAAGAAGUGCCAUGCUGAGAUGGGCGAUAUUCCCCUAAGAGAUAAAGUGCCUCUUGAAGCAAUUUAGUUGUAGAGUUAUCUAACAUACGAGGAGAAACCCGUCAAGAUUCUUGAGUUUGCAAGCCGAGUUACCCGCACCAAGGUUAUCAAGUUUUGUAAAGUUCAGUGGAGCCACCAUACCGAGGAUGAAGCCACCUGGGAGCGAGAAGAAGACCUACAGAAAGACCACACACACCUAUUUUCUAGCCAACCCGAAUCUCGAGGGAAAGAUUCAUCUUAAGGAGGGUAGGUUUGUAACAUCCCAAUUUGCAAUUCGGAUGUUAUACAUAGGUCAUCAUAUGCAUAUCAUAUUUUAUUUGCAUAUUUGGUUGUGAUCCUAGAAAUCUUAAGCAACUCAAGGACCCAAGGAGAGAGUUGGGGAUUUCAUACAUUUUCAUAUUUGAGUUUUUCUCAAAUUUGAAAAGAGGAUCCAUUUGGUUUUAAUAAUUUUCUCUCUAAUUAUUUCCAAUAUUUAAAUUAAAAUAGAGAAGAUAAUAUGACUUCUUCAAAAAGAGAGGAAUACUGGAGGAGAAAUUUUAAAAUCAAAUUUAUAUUUUAUUUGGUUUUUAUUUGAUAUUUUAUUUGAAUUAGAAAAAUAUGCAUUUUUGGAAAUUGCAUUUUAAGCCAGAAAAAUGCUCACUUCGUUAUAAAUAAUAGGUUUAGACGGUGAAAAUUGUUUUUGGCAUUUUUAGAACUUUUUUAUAUUUUAUAAGGAUUUUAUUCGGGCAGAAUUUUAUUUUAAAAAAUCCUUCCCUCGCCCAACUGGGCCGAAGGCCCAGCCGACCGGUCCAGCAGCCCACAUCGCCGCCGCCUUCCUCCCGCGCGGGGACGAGACCCGCCGCCGCAUGCCGCUGAGGGGAGUCCGAGCCGGACUCCACCCCGCGCCGCCCCCUCGCCCAAGGCCGACCCCCCUAGCCUUUAUAACCACCGCCGCCGCCGCUUCCUCCCUCACCCCUAGCCGCCGCACCACCGCCACCAAGCCGCGUCGUCGCCGCCUUUGCGCCACCGAGCCGCGCCGCCUCGCCCGUGCAGCCGCCUUUCCUCGCCGCCCGCCGGAGUCUGCCGCCGCCGUUUCGUCGUUGCCGAGAAACGGUACAAACCGCCCCGGUUCACCGGUUUAUUUUUGGUUUUUUUCGGUUCUCGGUUUAGAUCGGUUUAAGGUUAGGCUUUUCUCGGUUUUUUCCAAAUGAAUCUAUUUAGGGAACGUUCUUUGUUCUGUUCAUUUUAAUGAACAUGUUCAGUCGUUUGUCCCGACAGUGAACGUUCGUUCGAUAGCCUUUUUCUUUUAUUCUAUUUUCGGCCAGGGACCUAUCUGCGAUUAUUUUUAUCGCAGAUUAGCCCAUGAUCUUCAAGCCCUCACCACUUUUUGCUCGCUCGUCCAAAUCCAGUGAAACCAACGCCAAAAUAUUCGUCUUGUUCCCCUCUUUCUAGUUAGCCAACUUGAAUAUGGAUUUAAAAUUUUAAAAUUUGGUUGCAAGCAGAUUUGAAUUCGAACUUCUUUUGAUCGUAGUUUGAGUUUCGUAGCUCCGAUUUGGUUGAUUCUUUUUGCAAAUGAAAGCUCUUCAGUUGAACUUUCAAUUUGUAUAUUUCUCUUGAGUUUUACCCUUGCAUCUAUUGCUUGAGUGUUUAUGUAUGUUAUUGUUUGUUUGCGACAGAGUUUCCGGAGUGUGAAGCGUGCUACUACGAGUCACUAGGGUUUUCAUAUCGUCAGCAAGGCAAGUAACACUUUGAUCAUACCCCUUAUUACCCAGUUUUUAUGCAUUAUUUCAAUCCUCAAACACUGCAUGGUUAGGACUUGAAUAUUUGUGGGUACUGGGAAGUAGUUAUGAGGUAGUACCUAUUGUCUUUAUUUCAAACCCUGGAAGUUACUUCUACGUUGUGCUUAUACUGCUAUGCUAUGCUCGUAGACGUGGUUUGGUUUGAGUGAUCCAUGACAGAUGUGAGAGUUUUAAUUAAUGGUUAAACUUAAGGUGGCUACUUUAAUACACAUCUAGGUGGAUUGGUUGAGGCAACCAGGAACACCCAGUGGUUGUCUGGGCACCUGGAGCAAUCCAGUUUUGUCCUGGGAUAUCCCGGAGUACCCGUGUGAUCAUCCUACGGUUUGCCACCCAGGCUCGAAGGGAUCAUAAGAUUAUACAUGCUGGAAACUUACGUGUGCAACCACAAGCCAUUAUGGGCUCUGUCAUAGUUGAGUAAGUUGUGUGACCUCUUUCAAUGGUAUGCUAGCAGAUGUAGGGGAUGUAGGUGGUACUGUCUACCCAGAGUAAAUAGUUAAUGCUUCUGAAAGACUGUGUCUUGGUCAUCUGUUUCUCAAACAUCAUGUAGUGUGAGAAAUACAACGGAGGAGAUCGAGUCUUGUGGUGAAAAGUACGCAAACCUCUGCAGAGUGUAUAAACUAAUCAUGGUUAGCCGUGUCCCGGUUAUGGACAUCUUGAGUAUCUGGUACUUGAAUUAUUGAUUUGAUCUCAUCACUCUAUUAAUUAAUUUGUUGGGUUGAUGACUAUAUAAUUUGGGAUUGACUUGGAGGAACCUUCUCAAUGUUUACCACAAAUUUUGUAGUUAAAUAAAAUAUAUUCCUUUGGUGUAGGGAAAAAUUAGCUUUCUGCAAAAAUAACCAUAGAGCCUCCACUAGCCAAGUAUGCAUAUAGUUAUAGCUGCUACAUGUUCAUUGCUCUAUAGUGUUAUUUUUCCAGCAUAUUCCAUGUGCUGACCCAUUUCGGGCUGCAACGUAUUAUGUUGCAGACAUUUCAGACGAAGAGUAAGGUGCGCUAGGUCGUUGUCGUGCACUCAGCAAUGCCGUCGGAGUUGAUGGACUCAUUUUACCUUUGAAGCGUCUGAUGUUAUCUUCAUUAGAUGGCCUUCAGCUGUAUUAUUGCAAUAAGUACUCUCUUUUGAGAUAUUCGAUGUAAUAAGUGUGUGAUUGAACUCUGUUAUAAAUCCUUCAAGUACUGUGUGUGUGUGUCAGCAUUACCGAUCCUGGGAUGACACUUAUACGCAGAUAUUUGACCGCUUGAGGUCGAAUCGCUACAGCCAAGCCAGGCCGAUCAGUUCGUGUCGGGCUUUUUCGGGCUUGAGCCAGGCUUGGGCUGUAUUUAGUAGGCCUGACGGUCAGGCUGAGCCAGGUUCGGGCCUGGGUUUUCAGCACCGGCCGUGGUGGAAAGUAGGGGCGGGGCGGUGGGGGGAGGGGCCGGAUCUGGUGGCUUGGGUGACAGGGGCGAUAGGUGGCAAGGAGCGUGGGUGGACUGCCGGAGAUGAAGAAGAUGGCGGGGAUUUGGGGUGCGGCUGCGAGGAUCUGUGGGGACUGGGGCUUGGGGCCGACCGUGCGGGGAAGAGAGUAAGAUCGUGGGUGGAGUGGGUCAGGUGGGGUGGUCUUUAUCUUUCUUUCUUUGGUGCGCCUCAGGGUCGGUUCGGUGGGUGUGUGUGCAGAAUAAGGUUUCUGUUGUUAGAAUAAGGUCUUAAGGGGUGUUGUUCGAAUAGACCCACUCAAUUUAUAUGGCUUGUUCCCUAUAAUGACUACGAUGAGGGAUAUUCUAUGGCUUGUUUCAUAGUGUUGUGGGACUUCCAAAUUUUUUUUUAAUUUCUCAUUAUUUGACGUGAUAAUGAUGAUUUAUUUUUCUGUGUCGUCGCAAUAAAAUGAUUUUAGUGACACAAUGGAAAAAAUAUGCUAAAUCAAAAAUUAUAAAUAGCUUAUUAUUAAUUUAAUUGUAUGAACUGAAUCAGGUUUCACACAAACAAUAUAAGCAUUCACCUUCACGCAAUAUUUCUAGUACAUAUAUAAACUCAUUUCAUGGUAGUUCUCAGUUCUUUCUGCAGCAGCAUGUGCUACUACUGCCUUCAACACAACUGCUCUUAUCCUUGUCAUAACCUCGGUUAAUACAGUUAGCUUUGCACGCAAUGUUGCCACUAGCUCGGUCUGGUGGCGAACAAUAGUCCACAGUUGUACACAGGUCAGUAUCUGUGCACAA